UUUUUUUUAUUUUUUUUUUGUUUUCACUUUUUCUAAAAAUAAUAAAAAUGGCAAUAUUUUUGUUUUUUGUGACUUUUUUGAACUCUUUUCUAAAAUAAGGCAUUAACAUGCAGAAGUGACCUCAUGGAAUCCACUGUGAACAAUUCUGUUAUGGCUCAGUACGAUUUUGACAAUCCCAUCCACCAAGCUGAAGAGGAGAGUGAGGAAGACUGUGAACUCCCCGCAGAAUUGGUCAGAUUGCUGAAGCAGGAGGAAAGGGUCAUCCAACCUCAUCAGGAGGAGUUGGAGAUUGUUAAUCUGGGUACUGAAACUCCCCGCAGAAUUGGUCAGAUUGCUGAAGCAGGAGGAAAGGGUCAUCCAACCUCAUCAGGAGGAGUUGGAGAUUGUUAAUCUGGGUACUGAGGACGCCAGAAGAGAGAUCAAGAUUGGGGCUGCUCUAGAGGACUCUGUCAAGAGGAGGCUGAUUGAGAUGCUGAAAGAAUAUGUGAAGAUAUUCGCCUGGUCAUAUCAAGACAUGCCUGGGUUGGAUACAGACAUUGUAGUGCAUCGGCUACCCCUUAGAGAAGAGUGUCCUUCGGUCAAGCAGAAGCUUCGCAGAACUAGUCCUGAUAUGGUUGUCAAGAUCAAGGAAGAGGUUCAGAAGCAGUGGGACGCAGGUUUUCUGGCUGUUACCAGUUAUCCACCGUGGGUAGCCAACAUUGUUCCCGUGCCGAAGAAGGAUGGCAAAGUCAGAAUGUGUGUCGACUACCGAGAUUUGAAUAGAGCGAGUCCGAAAGAUGAUUUCCCAUUACCUCACAUCGAUGUAUUGGUGGAUAAUAUGGCUCAAUCCUCAGUAUUCUCUUUCAUGGACGGUUUCUCAGGCUAUAAUCAGAUCAAGAUGGCGCCAGAGGACAUGGAAAAGACGACAUUCAUUACACCUUGGGGCACGUUCUGCUACAAAGUGAUGCCAUUUGGGCUGAAGAAUGCCGGUGCUACCUAUCAGAGGGCAAUGACGACUCUCUUUCAUGACAUGAUGCACAAAGAGAUCGAAGUGUACGUGGAUGAUAUGAUUGCGAAGUCGCAGACAGAAGAGGAGCACCUGGUUAAUUUGCAGAAGUUGUUCGACAGAUUGGUCAAGUUCAAACUGAGGCUGAAUCCGAACAAGUGUAUGUUUGGGGUGAGAUCAGGGAAGCUGUUAGGCUUCAUUGUCAGCGAAAAAGGGAUUGAGGUUGAUCCAGCUAAAGUCAAGGCUAUUCAAGAGAUGCCUGAACCGAAAACGGAAAAGCAAGUCUGUGGUUUUUUAGGGAGGUUGAACUACAUUGCAAGAUUCAUAUCUCACCUAACUGCCACGUGUGAACCAAUUUUCAAAUUGCUUAGAAAGAAUCAGGCAAUCAAGUGGAACGAUGAUUGUCAGAAAGCUUUUGACAAGAUAAAAGAGUAUUUACAGAAACCUCCAAUCCUAAUUCCUCCAGUUCCAGGGAGACCGCUGAUAAUGUACCUGUCAGUUACCGAGAACUCGAUGGGGUGUGUAUUGGGACAGCAUGACGAGUCUGGUCGAAAAGAGCAUGCCAUAUACUACCUUAGCAAAAAGUUUACCGACUGUGAAACAAGAUAUUCACUGCUCGAGAAAACUUGCUGUGCUUUGGCCUGGGCUGCUCGCCGACUGAGGCAGUAUAUGUUGAACCAUACUACCUUAUUGAUUUCUAAGAUGGAUCCAGUGAAGUACAUCUUUGAGAAGCCGGCUCUCACCGGACGUGUUGCCCGUUGGCAGAUGAUUCUAACNNNNNNNNNNNNNNNNNNNNNNNNNNNNNNNNNNNNNNNNNNNNNNNNNNNNNNNNNNNNNNNNNNNNNNNNNNNNNNNNNNNNNNNNNNNNNNNNNNNNNNNNNNNNNNNNNNNNNNNNNNNNNNNNNNNNNNNNNNNNNNNNNNNNNNNNNNNNNNNNNNNNNNNNNNNNNNNNNNNNNNNNNNNNNNNNNNNNNNNNNNNNNNNNNNNNNNNNNNNNNNNNNNNNNNNNNNNNNNNNNNNNNNNNNNNNNNNNNNNNNNNNNNNNNNNNNNNNNNNNNNNNNNNNNNNNNNNNNNNNNNNNNNNNNNNNNNNNNNNNNNNNNNNNNNNNNNNNNNNNNNNNNNNNNNNNNNNNNNNNNNNNNNNNNNNNNNNNNNNNNNNNNNNNNNNNNNNNNNNNNNNNNNNNNNNNNNNNNNNNNNNNNNNNNNNNNNNNNNNNNNNNNNNNNNNNNNNNNNNNNNNNNNNNNNNNNNNNNNNNNNNNNNNNNNNNNNNNNNNNNNNNNNNNNNNNNNNNNNNNNNNNNNNNNNNNNNNNNNNNNNNNNNNNNNNNNNNNNNNNNNNNNNNNNNNNNNNNNNNNNNNNNNNNNNNNNNNNNNNNNNNNNNNNNNNNNNNNNNNNNNNNNNNNNNNNNNNNNNNNNNNNNNNNNNNNNNNNNNNNNNNNNNNNNNNNNNNNNNNNNNNNNNNNNNNNNNNNNNNNNNNNNNNNNNNNNNNNNNNNNNNNNNNNNNNNNNNNNNNNNNNNNNNNNNNNNNNNNNNNNNNNNNNNNNNNNNNNNNNNNNNNNNNNNNNNNNNNNNNNNNNNNNNNNNNNNNNNNNNNNNNNNNNNNNNNNNNNNNNNNNNNNNNNNNNNNNNNNNNNNNNNNNNNNNNNNNNNNNNNNNNNNNNNNNNNNNNNNNNNNNNNNNNNNNNNNNNNNNNNNNNNNNNNNNNNNNNNNNNNNNNNNNNNNNNNNNNNNNNNNNNNNNNNNNNNNNNNNNNNNNNNNNNNNNNNNNNNNNNNNNNNNNNNNNNNNNNNNNNNNNNNNNNNNNNNNNNNNNNNNNNNNNNNNNNNNNNNNNNNNNNNNNNNNNNNNNNNNNNNNNNNNNNNNNNNNNNNNNNNNNNNNNNNNNNNNNNNNNNNNNNNNNNNNNNNNNNNNNNNNNNNNNNNNNNNNNNNNNNNNNNNNNNNNNNNNNNNNNNNNNNNNNNNNNNNNNNNNNNNNNNNNNNNNNNNNNNNNNNNNNNNNNNNNNNNNNNNNNNNNNNNNNNNNNNNNNNNNNNNNNNNNNNNNNNNNNNNNNNNNNNNNNNNNNNNNNNNNNNNNNNNNNNNNNNNNNNNNNNNNNNNNNNNNNNNNNNNNNNNNNNNNNNNNNNNNNNNNNNNNNNNNNNNNNNNNNNNNNNNNNNNNNNNNNNNNNNNNNNNNNNNNNNNNNNNNNNNNNNNNNNNNNNNNNNNNNNNNNNNNNNNNNNNNNNNNNNNNNNNNNNNNNNNNNNNNNNNNNNNNNNNNNNNNNNNNNNNNNNNNNNNNNNNNNNNNNNNNNNNNNNNNNNNNNNNNNNNNNNNNNNNNNNNNNNNNNNNNNNNNNNNNNNNNNNNNNNNNNNNNNNNNNNNNNNNNNNNNNNNNNNNNNNNNNNNNNNNNNNNNNNNNNNNNNNNNNNNNNNNNNNNNNNNNNNNNNNNNNNNNNNNNNNNNNNNNNNNNNNNNNNNNNNNNNNNNNNNNNNNNNNNNNNNNNNNNNNNNNNNNNNNNNNNNNNNNNNNNNNNNNNNNNNNNNNNNNNNNNNNNNNNNNNNNNNNNNNNNNNNNNNNNNNNNNNNNNNNNNNNNNNNNNNNNNNNNNNNNNNNNNNNNNNNNNNNNNNNNNNNNNNNNNNNNNNNNNNNNNNNNNNNNNNNNNNNNNNNNNNNNNNNNNNNNNNNNNNNNNNNNNNNNNNNNNNNNNNNNNNNNNNNNNNNNNNNNNNNNNNNNNNNNNNNNNNNNNNNNNNNNNNNNNNNNNNNNNNNNNNNNNNNNNNNNNNNNNNNNNNNNNNNNNNNNNNNNNNNNNNNNNNNNNNNNNNNNNNNNNNNNNNNNNNNNNNNNNNNNNNNNNNNNNNNNNNNNNNNNNNNNNNNNNNNNNNNNNNNNNNNNNNNNNNNNNNNNNNNNNNNNNNNNNNNNNNNNNNNNNNNNNNNNNNNNNNNNNNNNNNNNNNNNNNNNNNNNNNNNNNNNNNNNNNNNNNNNNNNNNNNNNNNNNNNNNNNNNNNNNNNNNNNNNNNNNNNNNNNNNNNNNNNNNUGGACAAAAAGAAUAAAAGAGUCCAGGCAAAAAAGGGCAUCCCGGCGAACAAAAAAAACAGAAAGAAAAGGUUCGGGCAAAAAUUAGGGAUAAAAAUGAAAAGAAUUUGUACACCCGGUAAGUCGAAAACCCGCAAGGGCGGCUUAGGCAAAAAUGGGUAUCCCGGUGGAUUGAAAACCCGAAAGGGCGAUCCAGCCAAAAGAGGGAUUAAAGCGAAGACUACAGUCUGAGUUAUCUGUACUUCAUCGCGCUUCGUCAGCUACCAUCUCGAAAGAUGUGAUCGGUCCAGUCAUUCUUCUCAGAAAGCAAGGGAGUUGGGAGGAAAACUGAUAAUCUAUGAGUUAUAACAGAGUUGGGAAACAGUGGAUGCCGUGUUCACAUUGCCAUUAGGAUAGUUUAUUUUCCUUUUGUGCGCAAUUACCUCUUCCUAGGAAUUGCUUCCCAAUGUAUUUGCCUUUUCAGGCACAUUUUCAAUCAAUAAAAGUCGUUAUUCAGAUAAAUUGCUCUCUUGUUUUUAUUUUUACUGUUUUGUUUGCAAAAACGUCCGAAGUUUUGAUAAACAUUGCAUAUAAAAACAUGAAGGUUAAACAAUAACGUGCAGAAAGAUCAAAACAUUUGAAAAUCAUUUUGAAUGUUGAGGACACUUGAGCGUAUCUUGUCCAUGUAUCCCCUGGGGGCAUCUGUUAUUCCGUUUUGCAAGUCGUCAACUGUGAGCAUUCUCCAGCAGUUAUUUCCCAGAAUGAAGCUUUUCUCCUAGCUAUGGAUUGGUCAGGUCGUCCCCAGCGGAGCAGUUAUUUCCCAGAGCAGAGUUCAUCCUACUUGUGGAUUGCUUAGGAUAUUCCCAGCAAAGUUGUCGGUUUGCCCAUAGCAAGUUGCUUUAUUACUCCCCAGCGAAUUGCCUUGUCUUCCCCUAGCGGAGUUGCAUUGAUGGCACCCCGGCGAGUUGCCUUGUUUUUCCCCCUAGCAGAGUUGUAUUGAUGGUUUCUCAGCACAGUCGUCCUGUGUAUUCCCCGACGGAGUUUUCAUCAUUUUGCAUCUUGCAUGUAGUGAUCAUUGCAUCCUCAAACUGCGUAGCAUUUCCAUUCCAUAUGGAGCAUUACGCCAUAGGGAAACUCAAACAUAUGCAUUCAUGUGUUAACCCAACCAGACCGCAUCCCCUGCAGAAGCGGAUCAUUUUUGUUCAACUUGUACGGCACGUCUGCUACAGUUGCUCCUGACAGUAUUCAGGAUUGAUAUUCCCAUAGAAGUUUAUGUCCUCACCCGUUGGUGACAGAAAGCCUGUUUCUCCCCAGUGAGACCCCCAGCAAGUGGUCAGCUUUGCCUUGACAUAUUUAAGAUGUCGUCUUUGUGAUACCGGUAAGUGUCAUCUCAGCACCCGCGUGUGUUCAUUUUUUUGGUGUCGGUAAACACCAUUGUUUCGGUGUCGGUAAACAUCGAGUCUCACCCCAGUCAUCGGUAAAUGUCUGGUCAUUUUUUUUGGUGUCGGUAAACACCAUUGUUUCGGUGUCGGUAAACNNNNNNNNNNNNNNNNNNNNNNNNNNNNNNNNNNNNNNNNNNNNNNNNNNNNNNNNNNNNNNNNNNNNNNNNNNNNNNNNNNNNNNNNNNNNNNNNNNNNAAUCCGGCGAAUCUUUAAGCUUCAAGCUCUUCCUCUCUUCAACCCUUGUUCUCUGGCUCUCUUUGCCCUUUUCCACUUUUCUGUCCCUUUUUCCUUUUCACGUGAAAAAAUAAACCUUUUUACUAAAUGGGACCUUUUCUAAAUUCCAACUUUUAUUCCAAUAAAAUAAUAACCCAAUAAUAAUAAUUCCAAUAAUAAUAUUCCAAUUAUUUAAUUAAAUUAAUAAAUAUAUUAUUAACUUAAAUUAAAUAAUUAUCUUAUUUUAUCGGGGUGUUACAUUCGCCAUUAGCCUCUUUUUAAAAUCCCUACGUUUUAGGCAUAUGGUGUUCGCCAUAUACCUAAUGGUGUUCGCCAUAUCAGGAAAACAAAAGGUUUUCCGUUUUUUUGUUUCCCUUCUGCGCGAAUUCCAAAAAUUCCUCAUUCAAAUCUCUUAAAUUCCUACUCUAACCACCAUUUAUUCCUAUUCCUCAUUCCCCAACCAUCCAACUUCCUUCCAAUCAUUAUAAAACAUAUUACAAUCCUCUUUCUCAUCUCAAAUCCAUAUUUCCUCAUUCUUCCUUCUUCAUAAUAUCCAUACCCCUUUCUUUCCAAAUUUCUCAUUCUCAUUCAUUCACCAUGCCUCUUAGAAUAGCAAGGCCAAGAAGAGAGAUUGAUUACAUGGGUAUCACAUUAGCAGAGGGCAUCAUAGGCGAGAAUCAAAGAAGCAGUUAUCACAAGAUCUUCAAGAGGAAUUUCUUAGGAAUAAGGUAUCCUGAUAAUGCUACUCUUCGUGAUUUAGGAUUAAUCGACAAUGUUAAUUAGAUGCUUAGCAACUUAGGUAUGUCUUACUUAUGUGCUUUAACUAGUCCUACAUACAUUAGGAUUACCUAUGAGUUUCUGAGUUCUUUUAGAUAUGCCACCCACGUAGGAGGUUUGCACACCACAAACAAUAUUUAUUUUAGAAUAUUCAAUAGAGACUACACCUUUAGCCAAGACCACAUGGCCAAUAUAUUUUCAUUCCCUCAUGGAGAUGAAUAUGCUUGCCAAGCUCCUAUAGAGAGCGAAUGAGAAGCUAGUGCUCUUGACUUUUGGAGGAAACUAACAGGCAAAACCACCUUUGACUGGGAAGGUCUUAAAGCCACUGUUAUUCAGAACCCAACCAUUAGGUACUUGCUCUACAUUCUGACCAGCACUAUCUUUGGCCGAGAAAACACUGGGAACGUAAAUUCUAGGGAUCUUUUUCUCAUUUUUAAUGCACUAUCUACGACUAAAGUUAACCCAACACCUUUCUUAUUAGAACACCUUCAGUCUACUAGUGUUAGGAUAGGAGGUCAUAUUUGUGUUGGAGGGAUGAUUACAUCCAUAACCCUUGCGUUAAACUUAAGCACGGAGUUAGCUACACUUGAUCCAUUAUAGACUCCUUUUGCAUACCUUGAUUAUUGUCGUAGCAUGCACCUUAUUAAGAAUAAACCAAACGGAAACUAUUAUCUUAUGAUUAGUAAAAAGGAGGUGAGGGGAGUUACUUUACCUUGCGCCGCAUGCAUUAACAUGUGAUUGAGCGCUAACUGGACUUUUUAUGCUAAUGCCCCUGACCCUGAUGAUACUGUCAGGCCUGAUCGCAUGGAGCAAGAUGCUCCCCAAACUGGCACCCAUGCACACACCACACAUGCUUUUCCUGACUCCUUUGCAGGUACCUUAUACGAAUAUCAGCCCCGUGAGGAGUAUGCCUACACUGCCAUGAGGACAGCUCUUGAUGACAUCCUAAGUCAGCUUAGACAUCGGAACGAUGUCGAUGGGGACUGUGGCAUGCUACUUAGGAGUAUUCAGAGGCAGCAGGAGGAGAUGAGGGUCACCAUUGAUCAGAUCAGAGAGACUCAGCUUGGCUUUGUUGAGAGGACCGAGCUUAACAUGGGUGACCUCACCGAAAAGAUAAAUGGAGUGCGCAUGGAAGUAUCAUACAUGCAGGAGUAUAUGCAACAUGUACCUCACCUUGUAUACGAUAGAGGCGGUGUUAGACGUCACAGAGGCCACGCUCGACAUCACUGAGCCGCCUACCAGGUUUUAUCUACUCCUUUUUCCGCCUUGCAUUGAAACAUAGGGGACAAUGUUUGGUUCAAGUAUGGGGGAGGAGCUUUCCCGCUUUAUUUUACUUUAUUUUAUAUAAUUUUUUACUGUUUUCUAGUUAGUUUCAUAGUUUCUUUUAAUUUAAGUUGUUUUUCUUUGCUGUUUGUGUUUGAUUGAGUCAUACAUGUCUUGUUGAGUCAUAUUACAUGAUAUUCUUUUCUCUUGUUGAUAAAAUUCCCUUAGAUUUGACCCCCAAUAAAAAAAUUGUUCUAAUUCAAUGGCAUGACACCUCGAGAGUAUAUGUUGUUUCUCAUUCUUAGGCUUUGUUAAAUGGACUUGGGAAAGUUUUAAUAAUAUCGGUACCGUCCUAACACCCUGAACUCCCUAAGUAUGCAACAUCAAUUUGAAUAACCAUUAUGCCAAGACCUUAAUUUCUAAGUUUUUAAAGUAGCCUCUUAAGUAGUUUAUUUAAGCAGUCAACACCAUCUAAAGCACACAUUAAGUAAGGAAACCGGUGCAAAUAAGUGUAUGGUCUCAGGAUAAAAGCGAAAAAAAAUAUGUGAUAAGAUAUGUCCCUUCUAAGUUAGGUGAUCCUCACCCGGUCAUUUAGCCCAACGGUACAAACUCUUAAAAAUUCAGUUGAUGCUUAAGCAAAUUUGCUAAGUAAGUGCGGAAAAAAAAUAUGAAAACGAGACCAUAGUCACUAAAAGGUUCGUCUACCAUGAAUGUGUACGGAUAACAGGCUUAAUGUGAUUGUGCUAGAAUAAAGAGAGGUGAAAAAGAACAAAGAGUGUAGGUUGAGUUAUAAUGGCAUGAUUCAGAUUGGUUUUGCAUAGGGGGAGUUUUUGUCCGUGUGAUGCGAAUAUGUGUCAUUAUGAUAUCCUUAUUGUCGAUAUAUAGUACCUAUCUAUUUAGCACUAGCCUAGAACCCUCUUACUUUUUAGAGUUUUGUCGUGCCUAUGUCUCAGACGUUGUACUUGAUUGUUUGUCAUUUGCAUUGGGUGAUUGCUUGAGGACAACCAACAAUCUAAGUAUGGGGGAGUUUGAUAACGAGAAAUUGUAUCAUGUUUUUAGGCUUAUAUCGCAUGUUAUUCAUAUUUACUUCAAUAUGUUUUAUCACCUUUUAGUUCAUUUUUAUUCAUUUUGUAGUUGUUAGCGAGUUUCGGUGCGGAUUCGAAAGCAAAUUGAAAAAGGAGCAAAAAAGCAGCAAAAGAGCAUGAUUAUGCCCAUUCUGCCUAAAUGGUGUUUGCCAUUGGCCUGCCUGCCACAUCAUUUAAUGAUCAAGGCAAUGGUGUUCGCCAUUGCCCUAAUGGCAUUCACCAUUAUCAUGCAGACAACAGUUUUGCGCAAGUGGGCAGUUUUGUGCAGUUUUCUCCAACCUAUUUUCCCUCCAUUUUGCUUGCACGAUCAAGGAAGGUUAUAAGGAUGCAAAAAUUAUAUAAAUAGGACUCUUGGAGGUGUUUCAAAGUAUCCAAGUUGUGUGGAAGCUCUGUCGAAAUUGCUUCAUAGUCUUAGGCAUAAAUUCACCUGUAAAAGUGACAAUAACUCACAUCGAAGGAUUGUCACACCUGUUUUCUUGUAAUUUUCAUUGUACUCUUGGAUCAUGAACAAGCUUGCCAGAAUUUUAAAUUCAAUUCAAGUCUCUGUUUUCUUUAAUUUCAGGUUUUUACUGCUUUAUUAUUUGUAUUUGUUAUUACCUUUACUACAUCACAUGCCAUGCCGUUUUUAAGUUUAAUCGCUUUGAUCAUGUUAUUUUUAAUUAAAAUUAUGUCUUGCUAAUUUUGUCUGAGUCUGGCGUAUGAGGAUCGUCGUUACCGACGGGACUUGGUAGAAAUAAUAGGCGCGAAAUUGUGAUUAAAUCCUGUUUUGGUUUUAGUUUCUAAUUGUAUGUUUCAUUGUUUUGACACGAGAGUGAAGAAUAAACUAAGGUUCUAGCCGAUAGCGCGGGAGUGUGAGGAAGGAACCAUAUAGUGGAAACUAGGCAUCAAACCUAAAAACAACGAGAGCUUUUUAGGCAUCAUUUAGGAUCUAAUUGGUUUACAAAAUAUGCUUUCUAAUUGAAACGGACUAGCGAGAGCAAAAUCCCGUGGUUAGGAGGUGUGGUUUUAGUCAAUAGCACGAGAGUGUGAGACAGAGUCUUUAAAUCAAUAUUUUCUACAAAACACAAUAAAAUCGUAAUUAAUACUCAAACUCUACCUAAUCCCUUAGGAACAUGAAUCCAUAUCCCGUGCUCAUUUUAUCAUCAUUUUCAAACCUUUAGAUAUUAGCGUUUAUAUAUCCGUUCAUAUCCUUUUAAACUUUAGCCUUAGCUUUGCAAUUGCAACGAUAGUUUGAUUAUAAGUCUUUGUGGGUUCGACAAUCUUUUAAAACUACCCGAUAAACUGUAUACUUGCAGUUAUUAUCCGACAGACACGUUCGUCACGAUCAAUUACCAGCAUUGAGGAUAACUUCAUGUGUGAUCCACUAACUUUAGGAGAUGCCCCUUGAGGUAUUUGCACUUAUCAGGGUGAGAGGUUGGUGUUCACCACCAAGCUUCCUUCUCAAAAGGCUAUAUUCUUCUUAUCGAUCAACCAUUAUACUUUAGCUUUGAAGGCUUUGCAGUCCUUGGUUGAAUACCCUUUUGAUCCUUCAUGAUAUCCAUAUUGCACAUCUGGAUCAUACCUAGGUGGGUAUGGUUGUGACAACGACUUCAGAGGUUUAGGAUCCACUAACGAGCUUUGAAUUAGAGGUUGCAGAAUCUGACAGUAUGACAUGGGAAUUGGAUCAAGAGAAGCAUUCCUUCUUUCCAGGUUUUUACAAGGUCUACGUUGGCUCUGAUAUCCUCGAUCUUGGGCUUGAUGAUUUAAAUAAGGAGUGAUCCAAGGUUGAUAGUAUGGUGCUCUAGGCAUUGCUGGUUGCCUAUAAGGAUAUCAUGGUGCUAGAAAUGAUGAUCGCUGAAAAGAUGAAUGACCAUAAGGUUUUUGACAAUGCACCAUGAGAAUACUUAACAUUUGUCGUGACUGCAUUGAUUACAUCAUCUUCUUCCUUUUAGGAGCUAUUGAGGGAUUCCAUAUCACUAGCUUGGCUGCUCGAGGCGUCUUGGAUUCUUCCAUUUUUUAGGUUGCUCUCGAUGCGUUUUCCAACUUUCACCAGGCUAGAGAAGCUUGAUGACACAAUGCCUACCAUUAUUUUGAAGUAUGAGUUUUGCAAGGUAUCUGUAAACAUGUCAACUAAUUCUUUCUUUUGGUUAAUGAUACUUGGUAUAUAUAGCAUGAAUUUAAGGUUUUUUAAUAUUCAACAAUGACAAAUUUACCCUUGAAUAUUUAUUUGAAAUUAAAAUAAAACUAAAACAAUUAAGUCAAAUAAAAAUGAAAUGUUUAUAAUAAAAUAACAUAAAAUGAAAAUAACUAUUUUAUUAACUAUAUUUAUUUUUUAUGAACAUGUUGACAAAAAGAUAAAAAUAUACGGACUCAAAAUAAAUAAAAGUUGAGCGUAAAAGUGCUCGUAAAGUUAAGAUGAAUGCACCAAAAUGAUUAGCGCGAAAUAAAUGACUCAGAAAUAUACAGGUAUUUAUCAAAUUUUGAAAUGGAAAACACCCGGUUAAAACACUCAGACGGAUUAAAAUAUGACGAAAAAGUGGUCGAAAAAAUAAAUCGAGCAUACCAGGUUAAACUACGUGAAACAUAGAUUAAUAAAACUGAUGUUUGCAAGUUUAGUUUUGAAAUUUUUUUGUCUGUUGUUUUGGCACACAUUUGACAAUUGAUUCAACAAGUUUUCCUGUAGAUCCAAAAUUUUAUUUCGACUAAUAUUUUAGGCACUAUGCGGUAUGGAGUGUAUGUCAUGCUAUGCAGAAAUGCAACAACUAUGAUGAAUGUAUUGAAUCACAUAUUCAAUGUCAAAAUCGGGGUGUGACAAAAGGUUAUGCAGGUUGAAAAAUGAAAAGUAAGUUUGAAUUAAAUGAGGCUUAUGGUAGUAUGUGUUAUGUUGGUGAGAGGAUAAGAUGAAGAUGAAAACGUGUAGUCUGCUUAUGAGGCUCUCGACAUGAAAAAAUGAAGUAAAAAAACAAUGGCAUCUAACCUUUUCCUUUUUUCUGUCUUUUUUGAAAAUUGAGAGAUGAUCUAUUUGAUCGAAGAGGGGCCGCAGAUCUUCUAUUGGUUUGCUGAGUGUUUUUUCUUUCUUUUGCCAUCACAUUUAGCUUUUAUAUCAUGAUAGUUUGGAGUUAUAUUUUUACAUUAGGCCAGUAAUACUUUUUUUUAUUUUAUAAUAAAAAUGAGUUAAAAAUUAAAUUGAAAUGAAAUUCACUCUUUUUUAAAUAAAACGAAUAAAAUCAAAUUGAACGCUUCACUAAUUCUAUUUAUUUUUUCUUGAUAUUUUGACUAAAACACAAAACUAAAAGGGAUUAAAAUGAAUAAAAUCAUGUGAUAAAAUGCGCGAAAAAUAUAAUGAAUGCAUUAAAAUAAUCUAAGCGAACUAAAGUUCCGUAAAACAGGCAAACAAAGAUCAAAUCUUGCAAUAAAAGUACUCGUGGGAGUUGAUAUUGAUUUUGCAUUUUCCAUUCCAAAUCUCUUUAAGAGUUGUUUGUUGUAUUUAGCUUGAUUUGUGAACGUUCCUUCUUUUAUUUAAUGCAUUUGUAGCCUAAUGAAGUAUCGAAGUUCACAAAGAUUUGUCAUUAGCACCAAAUAUAAAAUCAUCAACGUAAAUUUGAACAAGUAAAAUGUUAUGCUAAUACUUUGAUAAAAAGAAUUGUAUCAACCUCUUCUAUUUGAAAGUUUUUUUCAAGUAGAAACUUGUUGAUUAAACAAUCAUACAAAGAACGUACGCAAGGGUGGAGGGUGGGCUUAUUUUAAACCACAACGAUCUUUUUUCAACUUGAAGAGAUGAUUAGGAGAAGAUAAGUUUUUUGAGUCCAGAGGUUGAUCAACAUAUACUUCCUCUUGGAUGUAACUUCUUAGAACAUGCUCUUUACAUCUAUUUGGAAGUAUUUAAAAUUUAUGAUGCAAUAAAAAAGGAAGAAACAUUCUUAUCGCUUAUAAUCUAGCUACAAAUGUAUAUGUGUCGUCAAAAUCUACGUCUUCCUAUUGAUUGUAUCCUUUUACAACAAACCUUGAUUUGUUUUUUUUAAAUAAAGUCACUUUCAUAAAGUUUGCUGCAAAAGACCUAUUUCGUUUCAAUCACAAGAUUGGUCAUAUGUUUGGGAACAAGCUCCCAAAUAUUGUUUCUCUCAAAUUGAUUUAACGUUUCUUGUAUAAUAAGAGAUCAAUAUUCAUAAAUGAGAGAUUCAUUAACUUUAUUUGACUUUAUUUGAGUAACAAAAUCCAUAAAAUUACAUACAUGAUUUAUAGAGUGUCAAGUAGUUACCCUUUUUUAGAUGUCUGAUAAUACAUUUUGAGUUUGAGGUAACUUGUCGCUUUCCAUUCUUUACGUAGAUCUUGAUGAGUUUCUUUAUUGUAUAUUUAUAUUUAUUUGUAUAUUUUUCCGUCAUUUGUUUCUUUAUUUUUGUCUUCAUUUGGAUCUUUGUCUUUGAUUUCGUUUGUCUCUUUGUCUUCUAAGAGGUUUUUCUCUAUAAUACAUGCACAAUCAAAUACUUCUACGUCUACUACAUACUUGGAGUUAGUUUCAUUAAAUUUAACAUGUACGAAUUAUUAUAUAGCCAUUGUUAAUUUGUUAUUAAGAUGAAAAGCUUGACUAAAUGUGGAAUAGCCAAGAAAAGAUCUCAAUUGGCUUUGGAGUCAACUUUACCAAGGUUUCCCUUCCCGUUACGAAGAAAAAAACAUCUUUAAUUGAAAAUAUAAAGGUGGGAAAUAUUAGUCUUUGUUCCUUUAUAUACUUUACUAGCCAUAAUUUUUAGAAUUAACCUUAUCAAGACGUUAUUCACUACACUGAGUUGUACCAUGCAAUGAAUCCUUUGCCAUCUUUCUCGGAAAAAAUAGCUAAUUCAAGAGUUUUAUAACCUCUUGUAAGAGACAUUAUUUUAUCCAUUCAUCUAGAAUAAGGUUUUAUAUACAUGGACUUAUCCAUGUGUUUCAACUAUAUCAUAAAACAUCUCUCAAUGGUAUCAACCAUGAGGUUGGGAUCCAACGACUAUUGUAUAUUAUAUAUAGCCUUGAUCGUAGCUGGAUGACAUCAAAUAUUUUUUUUGGCAUUUUGGAACGCUUAUUAAUAUAGAACUUGAGGUGGAUUAUUAUCCCAUUGAUACAUUAUUUUGAUAAAAUAAAUUUGUAAUUCAUGUAUGUUCGUCAUUAUAACUACAAGUUAAACCCGACAAGGAUUAAGUUAGUAUACAUAGUUGAUCCACUUAGGAAUAAGCAUUCCAGCCAUAUAUAUUUGUCCAAAUUAAAGACUUUUAAAGUCACGACAUAUCAAUUUGUCUUACUACUUAAGGACAUUCCAGUCAUAUAUAUUUGUCCAAAUUAAAUAUUAACAUGAUUAAGCACAUCAUCCGCCAUUGAUUACUCAUCGGGGUUAGCCUUAAAAAGCAUUAUGCUAAGAAUUCAAAAGAAUGAAAUAUGUUUGGUGUAUAUGAUUCAAUUAAAUCUCUGAAGGCUUACUUUAACACCCCAAAUUCGAAUAAUUUAUUUAAUUGAUUUUUUAUUGCUUUAUUUAAUUAUUUGGGUAAUUUGAUAUACUUAUAAUUAUUUAUUUUGGUGAUAGUAUGUGUUAUGUGAUUUUGGGGGGUUUAUUAGAAUUUAGUGGAGCUUUAUUUGGUUAAAAUAAUAAAAUAAGAGAAAUAGUGAUAUUGGGGAAGAAGUUAUAAUUAUUAGAAAAAUAAGGGAAAAUGGUGAAAGUAGAGAUGGAUGGAAGGGUAAAAGUGUGAAAAGAGAGUUAAUUAUAUUUUAGGUUAAAACAAAUAGAAUAUGUGAGGGAAACCAAAGUUACUGAUACGUAGAAGUUGUCCAAAUUAAAAAGAGAGGCAAGUGUGAGAAAAUGAGAACAAGGACUUGAGGGAGAAGAAGAACACCAUAACCAAACUUAAUUAGCUGCUGAAGAUUCAAGUAAUGAGGGAAACUACUCUAAUAUAUGUGUUAUUGCAUGAAAGGUGUAACACCCUAAAUACUGAAACUUAUAUAAAAAGAUUUAAUUGAUAAUUUAAGAUGUCAAUACGAUAACCAUCCAAAAACUUUCAAAAACAUUUGCAACAUCCAGCGAAGUUAAUAUAAUAAAAACUUAAAAAUCAAAUUUCACAAAUAAAAUAUCAGACUUUAAACCACAUAAUUCAACAUUAACUCAAAAUAUGAUAAAAAUGCAUUGUUCACGAUGUUACAUAUCAGAGCAUUUAACCGACUAAAAAUGAUGAAACAGUAAAUAAAACAAAGAUUAGCUUCAACAAGGCAUCUUCCACACACAACAACAACUUUACUAUUGACUAUCUGCAAGAUUUCCAUGGUGGACAACAUUAAGUAAAAGGGGUGAGAAAUAAAUAUUGAUAUGAAUAGUGUAAAGAAUGCAAAGGUAGAAAAAUGUAUAUCAUAUCAUACAUUCAAUGCACAACCAACAUCACCGUAAUCUCACACAUGUUCACAAUAAUAUGCAAAUAUAUGUAAUGCAACUCACGGUACAACGUGAUACUAUGCAUAUGGUACCAACUUAACAUUUGUUUCUCUCAAAGAACCCCCCCCCCUUCUGAAUCCAUGAGCCCCCCCUUCUGAGCUCAAAACCCCCAUUAUGAGCUUGGGACAAGCCACUAGUCCCCACUAGGGGUGUUCAAAACCAAACCAACCCAAUAGAAAACCGCAAACCAAACCAAAACCGCAAAAAACCGCAUUUGGCUCGGAUGCGUUUGGGUCAUUCUCUAACAAAACCGCACGGUUUGGUUUGGUUUGCGGUUUGUAUUUUUCAAACCGAACUAAACCAAACCAAACCGCAUUAUGUUACAACUCAAAAUUCAAUUAUCCCACAUCCAAUCCAAAACUCAAACUUAGUAUGCCUUAACCUUAUAAUUAAAAACGAUUUUCUCUUACUCACACUUAGGAUUUCAAUUUCAACCUUCUUAAAUCUCUCCCAGUAGUAUCGCACAUUCUUCUCAUCUUCUUUACCAUGUACGUUUCGCUUUUUCUACUCUAAUAUUUCAUCUCUUAUGUUCUUUCUUUUUUAUCUUUUAUGUUACUAUUUUCUCUUNNNNNNNNNNNNNNNNNNNNNNNNNNNNNNNNNNNNNNNNNNNNNNNNNNNNNNNNNNNNNNNNNNNNNNNNNNNNNNNNNNNNNNNNNNNNNNNNNNNNNNNNNNNNNNNNNNNNNNNNNNNNNNNNNNNNNNNNNNNNNNNNNNNNNNNNNNNNNNNNNNNNNNNNNNNNNNNNNNNUCAAAACCAAACCAACCCAAUAGAAAACCGCAAACCAAACCAAACCAAACCAAAACCGCAAAAAACCGCAUUUGGCUCGGAUGCGUUUGGGUCAUUCUCUAACAAAACCGCACGGUUUGGUUUGGUUUGCGGUUUGUAUUUUUCAAACCGAACUAAACCAAACCAAACCGCAUUAUGUUACAACUCAAAAUUCAAUUAUCCCACAUCCAAUCCAAAACUCAAACUUAGUAUGCCUUAACCUUAUAAUUAAAAACGAUUUUCUCUUACUCACACUUAGGGUUUCAAUUUCAACCUUCUUAAAUCUCUCCUAGUAGUGUCGAACAUUCUUCUCAUCUUACUUACCAUAUAUGUUUCGCCUUUUCUACUAUAAUAUUUCCUCUCUUAUGUUCUUUCUUUUUUAUCUUUUAUGUUACUAUUUUCUCUUCCAAUUACAUUUUUAUCGCACAUUUUUUCUCAAUCCCGCAUCUCUUAUGUUCUUUUUUUCAUCUUCUCUAAUCUCUCCUCUCAUAUGUUUUUUAUGUUUUAUUAUAAUGUCUUUGAUAUUAUUUUAUUUUACUAUUAUAUAUAUGUUUUUUAUUCCAUUUUUGUCUAAUCUAAUUUUGUGUAUAUUUAAUGUGAAGUUUUUGUCUACAUAUGAUAAGUUUUGAUGUUAUUUAGUAAUGUAUGAAUGACUAAAUACAAAAUUAUGUUGUUCUCUAUAGGUGUAUGUAUGGCUCAAUAGAAAUAUUAUAAAAAACCGAAUCAACCGAACCAAUCCAAACCGCAUUGGUUUGGUUUGGUUUGGUUUGGUUUUAUUUCUAAAAGUCAACCGAACCAAACCGAACCGCAUGCUUUUUUCUCUUGCGAUUCGGAUGAUUUUUAUCGUCAAAACCGCCCAAACCGCACCGCGAACACCCCUAGUCCCCACUCUGAACUAGUGAACAUGUCUCUUUCAACAACACGACACAAUGAUGCAUGUUCAUACAAAUCAAAACAACAAUAAUAAUAAUGCUUACGGACCCCCCUUCUGACCAUAAACAACAUGCAUUGACUCACAAUAGUAAUCUCCCUUCUGAAUUUCUAUCCACCAAUAAUAUCAACAAUGCUCACCAUCAAUACAUAAUUAAUCAUCAUAUAACCAUGCAUUUCAUAACAAUAUGAGUCAUAUUCAUAUCAUAUAACAUCAUCAAGCAAUAUAAACACAUCUAAUACACGUCCACACAACACUUAACCAUGUUAAAUCAUCUUAACAUGAAUUCAUCAUUAAUUCAUUCGUUUGCAUCAAUUAAUCAUUUGCUCACUGUCGUUUACUAUUGUGUAACAAGUAAAACUAUUAAUUUUCACAAUUUACAACACCCAUCUAGCCUCUUAAUACAUCAUUAUGGGAUAGUCAUAUGUGUUACCUUUCCAACGCUUCAAACUGCAUCUUAUUUGGAUUUGCGGAACUAAAGUUAUGACAAAAACAGUCAAAUAAAAUAAUAGGUUUCAAUUUAGAAAAUUUUCAAAAUCCAACUAGCAUCAAUCGAUUGACAUCUGUGUGCAAUCAAUUGACAUUAGUCCUCAUUAAAUUUUGCCUUUCCAAUUUUUCAUGUUUUGGCUAAGACUAAUAGAUUGAUUCAAGUAAUUAAUCGAUUGACAUGGUUUAAUUUUUCAGGUAUUUCUAAUUUUUCAUGCGUGCAAUUGAUUGACACAGGAUGUCAAUUGAUUGACAUCACCCCAAAUUCGAAAAAUCCAAGUUUUUCACAAGUUAACUUCAUCUUCCUUAUUCCCUAUCCCUCGUACAUCACCCAAUUCUCAUUAUAACAUCCAAACACAUCAUAUCAUAAAUUUAACAACAUAUAAGAAUCUCAUCACGAUUAAGCAUGAUAUAGUGCACAAAUUAAACCAUGAGUCAUAACAAUUAGACAUACAAUUUAUUCAUCACUUUCAUUAAAGUCAUGUUUAUGUUCAAAGCUUCAAGAUUCCAACAAUGACAUAGAAUCACAUACUCAUAAAUAGGACAAUACACACACAAAUUUAGUCAUGGAAAUUUGAUAUUCACACUUUCAAUCAUCAAAUUUUCAAAUCAACACAUAACAACAACGAUUCGUAAAAAGUUUCACACAAUCCCUAAAGAGAGUAAGGGUCUCUCUUCUCUAUCUUUUUAUUUCAGACACCCAUAUAGAAGUCGUGAGUCAUAACAAUUAGACAUAUAAUUUAUUCAUCAUUUUCACUAAAGUCAUGUUUAUGUUCAAAGCUUUAAGAUUCCAACAAUGAUAUAGAAUCAUAUACUCAUAAAUAGAACAAUACACACACGAAUUUAGUCACGGAAAUUUGAUAAUCACACUUUCAAUCAUCAAAUUUGCAUAUCAACACAUAUCAACAACGACUCGUAAAAAGUUUCACACAAUCCAUAAAGAGAGUAAGGGUCUCUCUUCUCUACCUUUUUAUUUCAGACACCCAUAUAAAAGCCGUUUCUCUCCCCUUACCUCAGGUUUCUAGCUAAAAUUCAGAAUUGAUGAAGGUUGAUGGUUUGUGUUCUUCCCUUUUUAAGCCCUAGCCUCUUUUUUCUCCAAAAUCUCUCACUUUAGGUAUUAUUUUCCUUAAGGAUCCCCUAAUCCCUUUUAUCUCUAAAAACCUAAUUUCAUCUCUUAAUAAUUACACUAAGGCCUAACUCUUCUUAUUUUUCUUAUCACUUCCAUUAUUUCUCCUUAGUUCCUAUUUCCACCCAAAACCUCUAUUUUAAUUUUAAUUUUAACUAAUUAAAAAUAAUUAUUAAUUCUAAUUAUUUUAAUUGUUCUAUCCAUCCACCAAAACUCUCAUUAUAUCCCACCAUGCACCAUAUACACAUAUAACUCACAAUAUAUUUAACUAAAAUUAUACCACAUACUAAAUAAUAAAAUAAAAACACAAUUUAUUUGAUUAAAUAAAUUAAUCAAAUUUUGGGGUGUUACAAAGGGUAAAGAGGGAUUUUCACCUUCUUCUAGGUUUUUCUCCAUUGAUGUGUUUGAUGAGUUUUAGAAUAUAAUCAUGUAAAAUUUAUGAUAAUCAAUGUAUGUGAUAUGAAAUUUGUGUCAUGUGUGUUGCGUAAUUUUAUGUUUGAUGAAUGGAUAUGAAUAUGAAUGUUAUGAUCACCAUUGUUGUGUAUUUGGUUUUAUGAAUAAAGUAUUGAAUUCAUGAUUAAUUGAUGAAUUUGGAUGUUAAUUAAUGUAUAUAUGAUGGGUUGGUUGUUGUAUAAUAUGUGUCUAUUAUUUUCUGUGUGAUUUGGUAUUCUACGGGUCUAAAUCGGAUCUUCGAACGAGCUUUGCUAGUGAAAAACGCAAAUUCUAUUUUCUAAAACAACGUGACGAUAUGACAAUCAUGCAUUUGAGGCAGCUGACUGUCGUCAACAUGAUGACGGGGAGACCGUCAUGGUCUUCAGGCGAGAUUUCUCCCGUCGAUCGUCAUAGGGUGACGGGUUUAUGAGAGAAUGGAGUUGCGGGCUAGGUGACGGUCGUCACUCAGGUGACGAGCUGGUCGUCACGACCGUCAAGGACCAUUUUUGGGCAUUUGAUCCGGAUUUCGAUGUUGUUUUCUUUUGUGGUUGAUGGUUGACUGUUGUUUUUUAUGUAUUUGAUGAAAUUAAUUAAUUAAUUAAGGUGUAUUAUUUUGAUAAUGAAAUGAUUGAAUUAACUUGCAUGAUUAUAAGUGGUGAGUUAUGAUUAUAUUUAUGAGUUGUGAUGCUGCUAAUAUAACUAUGUGUUAUGAAUGUAAUUGUAAUUGCUUGUGUUAAGGUGCGUAGUUCAGAAGUGGGGACUAGUAUGGAUGAUGUAUUGCAUGUUGUUUAUGGUUAGAAGUGAAACCAUAAGCGUUGUUGUUGUUGCGUUACUUUGUAUGUCAUUAAUCAUUUUGUGUCAAUGUGUUGAAAGAGGCGAAUCACGGGUUCAGAAGUGGGGACCAGUGACUAGUCCGGAGUUCAGAAGUGGGAAUCUGGUUCGAAUGAAGAACCAUUGUUAAGUGAACGAGAUUAGUAAGAAACCUCUGAUGUUCAAAUUGGUACCACAUGCAUUGAUUCAAAUUAUGAGAUAUAUUGCAUACAUAAAGGCUAUGUGAGUUGAUUGUUGUGUUGUUGCGUAAAUUGAAUGUGUGUUGUUGUUUGCGUGAUUUAAGCUAGCCUUGCAUUCUUUUACAUUGUUAAUAUAUUUGAGCAUAUUCUCACCCCUUUGUUAUUUGUUUUGUGUUGUUUUGUACAUUGUGGUACAAAUACUCAGGAGGAGUAAGUGUUAUUGUGAGUUGGAAGAAGACUAUGAAGCUCUCUUCAUUUUCUUUAUUAUUUUAUCGUUGUUUAUUUUGAACUAUUACUCUUAUUUGUAAAAUCAUGGAACAUGUCGCUUAAACUAUUGAGUUAAUGUUUGAAUUUAUUCAAUUUCAUUAGUACUUCAUUUGAGGAGAUAAUGGAAGUUUACGUUAUUUAUCUUGAGUUCCGCUACGAGUUUUGAAAUAUUUGAAAAACAUGCAUGUUAUGUUUGAGUAGUAUCCUAAAAUGAUGGUUUUAUUCCUUUAAAUUGAGAGUCGAAUUUUAAUGUGUUAUAUUUAGGUUCUGUUUGGUUGAGGAUAAAUGGAAAGGAAGGGAGAAAAUAUUUAAUGACUUAUGUGUUUGGUUCAGAUUUUAAGAGAGGGAGGGGUGGUAGAUAGAGGAAAUCAAAAUCCCUCCUGAGUCACUUUCCCCUCGUUUUGGGGGAUUUGGAGGGGACGAAAGGUAUUUCAUUUUAAUUAUAAUUAUAUUUACCAAUUUACCCUUAUUUAUUUAAAUAUAAAUUUAACUUAUUAAAAUGUUAAAAGUUUUAUUUUGAAUAAAUUUUAUCUUCCUUUUAUAUUUCUUGUAUUUUUAUAUCUUUAUCUUAUUAUCAUUAUAUGUGUUUAAUUUUUUUUUUACUUUUUAUAUUUUAAUGUUACUUUUUAAUUAUCGUAUAUUUUUGUUUAUAAUAUUUUUUGUUAGAUUUCAUUGUAUUUGAUAAUCUUUUUAAAAUCAUAUAUUAUAAUCAUUACAUUUUUAUAAAAUCUUUCAUGAUGUUCUCGGAUUAAAUACUUAUAAUUCGUCGACGAAUUUGUAUUUGAAUUAUAAACAGUAAAUCUCAGGAGUGUUAUGGUAAAAUUAGAAGGAUAAAAAAAAAUAAAAAUAAAAAUACCUUUCCUCCCCUUGUGAACUAAACAUAUUUAUAAAUAAAAUAUCUUCUCUCUUCCCCCUUUCAUAUUUUGAACCAAACAUGUACGAAAUUAAAAUAUCUUCUCUCUCUUUCCCUCACCUCCCCUCUCCCCUUCCUUCGAUUGAACCAAACAAACACUUAUUGUAGCAAUAAUCAUUUGACUUUGAAUUGCAAUAUCUGUCUUAACUCUAGUUCUCUUAAAUUCUUUAAACGAUGAAGAGAACAAUAAUGUCACCAAAUUAACUCAUUUGACCAUAAACUUCAUUCUAUACCAUAGACUUAACGAUACAAUUAAAUUAUUGAAAAACCUAAUACACGAUAUCAUGAUCUCCAUAUCAAUUUAUAUAUAGUUUUUAUUUAACAACUUAAAUACUUUUCCGUUUAAACAAUAUAUAUGGUCGUUUGUUUUGGCUUUUUUUUAAAAUGAUUUUUAUAGUGUAACAUAUUUUGAUGUAAAAAAAAUUUACAAAUGAUUUUUUUAUAAAAACUUCAAAUUAUAACUUGAUUUGAAUAGUUAUUUUAGGUAUUUCAUCAUUUUAUCAAAAAAAAAUUGGAUAUCAAAUUUUUUAAAAAUCACUUAAUUUUAAAACUAUUUCAAAUAAUUUUUUCUAAAAAACAUUUUUGAAAUAGAACUUUUUGAAAAAACUGUGAUUUUGACUAUACUUUGAUCUUCAAUAACGUGGUUUAUGUUAUAGUAUAUCAAAACUAAUCAUUUAAUUUAUAAAAAAACAAAUUAAAAGAAACUUAUAAUAUUUUAGAAAACAUUUUUCUAAAAUUCAUUUUCAAAAAUAUAAAAAAAAAUCAUUUUCUUAAAGCUAAAACAAAUUAACCAUAAUCAAACUAUCAAAUAAUAAAAAAUAAUAAGCAUGUUACCAUAAUUUUUGUCGUUUUUAGUUAAGAACUUAAUUAUUUUUACAUGUAAAUAAUAUAUAAUCAAAUUAUCAAAUAUAUAUUAUCAAUAAAGUAAUCAAGCAUUUGACCAUUAUUUUUAUGUAAAUAUUGGUGGAUGUAUCAUCAUAUCAUAAUCAUAUUCAUAAUAUACUAAAAAGAAGAAGAAAAUUUGAGUCACAUGUUUGUUUAUUAUUGCUGUAUUCCUAAACAAAGAAUUUAUCAUUUACUACACUUUUAUUUGUUUGUUUUCCCGGUAACAACAUCAACGAAGGACCAAUCCCACUCAAAAACCCUAAUUUUCCCAUUUACAGUACCAUACACUGAUUUCAAGGUUUUCGUUUCCCUCUGCCUCACUCUAACGUAUCUCAUCCGCGACCGUUAUAGAUCAAAUAGAUCAAUCAUAGUUAAAAUUUUCAUUUUUUGCUUUUGCGUUUUCAGUGUAUCGACAAUAGUAGUAGUUCGAAGAGUUUGGGCUCACUCCUUCGACUUCAAUGGCGGAGGACCACAAAGAUGCGAGUGAUUACAGUUCGGAGGAUGAAGGAACUGAAGAUUACAGACGUGGUGGAUAUCACGCGGUUCAGAUUGGCGAUACUUUCAAAAAUGGGUGCUAUGUGGUUCAGAGCAAGCUUGGUUGGGGGCAUUUUUCCACUGUUUGGCUCGCUUGGGAUACUCACAAAUUGGUUUGUACCCUUUUCAUUCUCUUUGUUUCCUUGGAUUAAAAUUUUAAGCUUUUGGUUUUUUAUGAUUGAUAAUUGAGUUUAGUGUUUUUGGAUUAUGAAGGGGUGUCAAUGUUUCUGUGAUGGAGAACUUUGACUAAAAUGUAUGCUUUGUUUUCUGUUUUCUAUGGGUUUCUUUUCAAUAUUAAAAAUCAUCUAUUUGUAACUGAAAUUUAUCAUUCUUAAUUCUCAACUAAUACAUAGAUUAGGAAAUUUUGCUGCUUGAUCUUCUGUAAUAUUCUACUCUAGCUAUUACCAUUGGGUUCUAGCGCAAGUGGUUGGCAAAACUCUGAGUGUUGUAAACCCUAGGGUGCUGAGUUUUAUUCUCUCAAUAUGUAUGUGUGUUGUGUGUUCAAUUCAGUAAAUAAAGUUGAUUUUGUAAUUAGUUAUUCAUGCUUCUAUUGCAUUGAUUCUCUUUAUAAUUUGUUAAGUUGUUGUUCAUAUCAAGUUUGUGUCAUUUGAGUUCUUUUCAUUCGACCGCUUUGUGAAUAUGUUUGUUGAAGCCCUAGACAACACACAUGCUAUGGUGUUUGUUUAUAUAUUAACAAUGAGGGCAUUAUUUAUUAUGUAGCGAUAUGUUGCCUUAAAAAUUCAAAAGAGUGCUCAACACUACACUGAAGCGGCAAUGGAUGAAAUAAAGAUUCUCAAACAAAUUGCUGAAGGGGAUGUAGAGGAUAAGAAAUGUGUUGUGAAGCUUUUGGACCACUUUAAGCAUUCAGGGCCUAAUGGCCAGCAUGUUUGUAUGGUUUUUGAAUUCCUUGGUGAUAAUCUUCUCACACUUAUCAAGUAUAGUGAUUAUCGAGGUGUUCCCCUUCCCAUGGUUAAACAAAUUUGUUAUCAUGUUUUGGUUGGUUUGGAUUAUUUGCAUCGUGAGCUCUCUAUAAUACACACUGAUUUGAAGCCCGAGAAUGUCUUGAUUCUCUCUCCAAUAGAUCCAUCUAAGGAUCCUAGAAAAUCUGGAGUCCCACUUAUCCUUCCAAAAACCAAAGACAGGACUGUGUCCAAGCAUGGGACGACAAAUGAUAAAAGUUCGAAUGGAGAUCUAACCAAGAAUCAGAAAAAGAAAAUGCGCAAAAAGGCUAAAAAAGCAGCUCAGAAGGAAGGUCCCGAGGUAGCAGAGGAGGAUUCUGAAGCACCUGAGCAAGAUAGGUGUAGUAAUGAUGUGAAAUCAAAUGUCGAAAACGGCGAAGGUAAACCUAAUAGUCCUGCAAGUUUAGAUGAAUCCGCAAAGACUUCUGAAAUUCAGGAUGUUCCACAAGGAAGUCAAGUUUCUAGGAGAGGUAGCCGCUCUACCAGAAAAAAGUUGCUUGCUGCUGUUGAUCUCAAGUGCAAGCUGGUGGAUUUCGGUAAUGCUUGUUGGACGUAUAAACAAUUUACGAAUGAUAUUCAGACAAGGCAGUAUAGAUGUCCUGAGGUUCUUCUUGGUUCCAAAUACUCGACUCCAGCUGAUAUGUGGUCCUUUGCUUGCAUUUGCUUUGAGCUUGCCACCGGUGAUGUUCUUUUCGAUCCUCACAGUGGUGAUAACUAUGACAGGGAUGAGGUAACCUGUUUUGAAUUUCAAAAGAAUAUGUUGGCUUUACUUCCUCUAUACUUUUUUCUUUGUAUAUAUAUAUUCUGUCUUAGGAAUUUGAAAUCCAUGUGAAAAAUAACAUUUUGAGGAAAUAAUUUGUCGAAAUGCUGCUUCUACUUUUGUGAUUCAAAAGUGUGUUCAAGUUGGUAAAAUUGAAAAGUUCUGUGACCAAAAUAGUCUAUUUGAAAAAUGAAUUUUAUUCCAACUAAGGAUUUUUAUGGUAUUUAUGCUCGAUUGCAUUCAGAAAGUUGAAGUAUUGGUAGAACUUUUGAUAUGCGAUCAUGCUACUAGAUCACUCAGAAGGCAUUUCUUCAAAGAAAUGAACUCGUGUCUAUACUCUAGCAUUACAAAAUUAUUUUGGUCUAAAGAUGUUCCACUGUUUUCAAAUUUUAAUAUAUUUGUUGUUUAUUUUGUUGAUGUUUUUAGAAUUGAAGCUUCACUUGUUUAAAUUUGCCGUAAUUUUUAUUGGGCGUACUAAAACCAUACAUUUUCCUUAGAAAUAAUGCACACCGACAAGUUUAUUUUUUAUACCCAUUGAAAAUCUGUCGAUUCUUAUUCUCUUGGAAAAAAUGUACAAAAACCUGAAAUACUGCUGUGGACUGUGGUUAUUUGGACUUCAACUUUAAUUGAUGAUUUAGUUUGAUGAGAUUUCUAAAUUUACUCUUCAGGACCAUCUGGCAUUGAUGAUGGAGCUUCUUGGAAUGAUGCCUCGCAAGGUAGGCAUGUUAGGUGUUAUGCUGCAAAAUGUCCAAGUUGUUAUAUCAUCAAUUUGCAUCUUGAUAUCUUGAUAUGCACAAGGAGAAAAAUAUUGCGCACUAUAGAGGCUUCAUUAUCCUGCAUUCUAUUCAUUCACUUCAUUAUAGCCACCAUCCAUAGUCCCUAUUGAAUAUACUCUUUUUCUGUCUAUGAUUCUCAAUUUUGAAUUUAUUAGUAAUUUAGUAUCAACAUUUUAUUUGUUCCCAUCCUCACAAGUUGAGCAAUUACUUUGUCUAGAUUGCACUUAGCGGCCGCUAUUCCAGAGACUUUUUCAACAGAUAUGGCGAUUUGAGACACAUUCGUCGGUUGCGGUUCUGGCCUAUCACUAAGGUGUUGACAGAGAAAUAUGAUUUCAGUGAGCAAGAUGCAAGUGACAUGGCUGACUUCCUAGUUCCGUUACUCGACUUUGUUCCUGAAAAGAGGCCAACGGCUGCUCAGUGCCUCAAUCAUCCAUGGAUGAGUGCAGGUCCUCGGACUCUUGAGCCAUCUUUGACUAAUGUGCAACCUGAUGCUAUUAACGGAGAAAAGUCUCUAAAGUCUAGGGAAAAGACCGAGCAUGAGGCUGUUGAAGUUGGUAUGGGGAAUAUGGCGAUUGAUGGAACUCAAAAGUCACUCAAAGAUUUUCAGCCCACAAAGUCAUUGGAGUAGAGACAAGUUGGCUUAUGUUGGUGGUUUAUGCAACAUGUUGCUUUUAUAUGGUAAGUUUUGGUGGUCCUUGGAGCAUGAUAUUCUAUUUAACUGUUAUUUUAUAAGUACUAUGUGCAAAUGAGUCAUACUUAAGAGGUUGUGAUUUGUGAAACCCUUCAUAGGGUAGGGCAAAGGAAGCUGAAUGGAUGCCUGUUAGAAUGGGGUUUAACCACUUCUUUCACCUCUUACAAAAGUGUGUAGAAGAUAGCUUCCUUCACAUUCAAUAGAGAGCACAUCAUCAUCCCGAGAAUAUUUUAAUUUUUUGGAGAGUUUGUUUGAUAUUUAUCUCUAGAUUAGGUGUUCAUCUUCCAAAAUGUUAUAUUUUAGGAAUUUGAACUGUACAUUUGAAUGAGUUCUUUUUUUGUAUCUAUAUCAGAUUUUGUUGCUAUAGACAUUACUGGGACAUGUUUCUUAAUUUUUAACAUUUUUAAUAAUUUUACUUUUGGGGAUUUUUUACUUAAAACUUAUCUUUGGAUUCAUUAUUCACGUUAUUUUCUACAAUCAUAAUUACUAGGUUUGUUUCACGAACAAUAGGGGAUGUUUUGAGUGAAUUUCAAACAAAUUGAGUGAAUAUAUCUAUGAAAAAAGUGUUAAAAUUACACUCUAUAUUUUUUAUACUUUAGUCAAUUUGUUUAUAAAUAGAAAAAUGAAUUUGUAAACAAAUGCUUUUCCAACUUUCUUGAAUCUCAAUUUAGUUGCUCAAUCAAAAGAUUGGGGUUACUAAGGUAAAAAAAAAACUCGAGUUUCUUGCGUCAAAAGUGGGUUAGGCAUACUCCAUUUUAUGGGUUGUAAAGCUUCUAGUUGACAACUAUGUUUUGAAAAAAAAUCUGCCUAUCAACCUCCCCUACAGAUAGAAUUCGAAUUGGCUUGAUAAAAUUAGACAUUUUAAUUUUAUGAGAAUAUGUAAGGAGUUAUUAGUUUAAUAUAUUUUUGCAUUUUUUUAAUUUUAUAAUUACAAAAUAAUUACAAGAAAAAUAGACUUUAUAAGUUUUAUGCUAACAUAUAAAUAGUUAUUAGGUUAAUAUAUUUUUUUGCGUUAUUCAGAAUUCCCGUGAUCUUAAGUAGAGAUUGUAUGUGAUUUUGACUUUGGAAAAGGGAAGUUAAAUUUUAGAAGAAGCCAUAGAAAUAUGAAUGAUAUGACAAAAAUGAUUAUAUGAAUAUAUUGGGAGUCUGUUUAAUAUAUAUAAUAGAUUUGACAAUUAUGUAAUUACAUGUCUGUCUCUGAAGAUAGUGUGACAUAUGACUAAUGUUUUAAUGCACUUGCACACAACACCCAAACAACAGCAGUGAAGAGUCUUUUGAUGGCUCACAUAGCUUAUUGUGAACUUGUGAAGCAGUGAAAAUUUGUAUGUAUAUCCCCCUCUGGAAUAGGAAUAAAAACUAAUGCAUGCUACAGCAUCAAUAAUGUGAGUAAUAUCAUGCAUACUUCCAAAUCCAUUUCGGAUGAUUGAUGAUCUUCAUGCACAAUCCCUGCAUUUAUGCGUGCUUACUUUCCUUUGCAUUUUAAAAUAAAACCUGAAAAAUGAAUCAGAAUCCCUUCAGGUUUGUACCACUUAAUGCAUAUUAUGGCUAUAUUGAUAUUGAUGACUAAACCUCAGAAGUAGAGGUCAAAAUAAGUUCGGCUGGGCCGAGCUUUCUAAAGCCCGAACAUUUUUCCAAACUUAAAACUUGAAUUAGAGUUCUACUUUGUAAUAAGAUCUUUAAAUAAGUCAUUCGAUGAUUGCUAAAAAGCUUUAAAACUCAGUAUGCAGUUAACAAUUUUUGUACACAUCUAAUCAUGCAUCGGCAUCGAAAAGAAAUUUUUCUCUAAAAAUUGUAAACAAAUCUUGAACACGUCCAUUCAUAUUUCAUCAACCUGUCAUAGUAUAAGUAAGUUUUUAAAAGUAAUGUUAUGAUGUGUUAAGAUAAAAUAUGUUUGGCUAUGUUAACCUUGCUUAUAAAUGUAUAGUAGUUAAAAUUUUAAAUUAUUUACAUUUAUCUAAAUAGGUAACAGAUUUAAAAGACUUUUAGGAUACCUUUAGUUUAGUCUUUUUAGCUAAAUAGAUUUUUAAAAAAGUCUUGGCCUAAUUUAUUUUGUAAGUAGGUUAGAUCAUUAGUCCUCAAACAGAGUUCAAAAUACUUUACAUAUCUUGGAUUAAAGAUGUUUUAUUAGUAGAUAUCAUGAUAAUACAUGUACUCAAGAUCUACGAAGAUAAAAAAAAAUUAGAGCAUUUUUGCGGGAGGAAACAGCUGAGAAGUAACAAAAUUACCUAUAUUUGAAGUUUCACUCGAUCAAAAUAUUUUUCUUGCUCUGAGGUAAUUAUACAUAAGAAAGAAAACAAUAAUGCCACCAACAAUGAUCCCAGAUGUAGUUAGCCAAAAUGCAAACUGCAUUCCAUCCACAAAUAUAGUUAAUUAAAAAGACUGAUUGCCAAUAACUUCCAAAAAGAACAAAGUAAGUCAUACGUGGAAUAAGAUUUUAGACAGCAACUCACCACACGUUCCUCAAGAUAGGACUUCAGGUUCAUGCCAAAUAUACCUGAAACCAUGAAUAUAUCUUGAUAUAAAAUCAAGUAAUGUAGAUAAUACUCUCAAAUAAUAAAACAGACAGACUCGUGUAUUUCACAUAAUUAUAAAUGGGUAUAGCCAAAGUUCUUAUUUAAACUGCAUAUUCCUGUCGAGAUCAAAUUGGCAACUCCAGAUUCUAAAUCUUGAAAGUGCUUCACCGAGAAGUAUAUUUAAGCAUAAUUCUGCCAUAAUGGUUGUAGUAGCAAAUUUGCACAACAAACGAUCAUGUACCAAGAUGAUUAAAUCAUGCAAUGUAUGCUAGUAAUAUCUGGAAAAACUUCAGAACUACAUGAUCAAAAAAUUAUUAGAUUUUAAGAAGAGCAGUUCCGGCUGUUUCUUAUGCAAACCUAAACCACCAACAAAAGUUAUAAUUAGCCAAGUUUUAGUCCACUUCAAUUCCUGGUACGUGGAACUGAUUUAUUACCUGAGAAUAUUAUCUACAUUAAAUGCUUAAUGUAGACUAGAGUGUGAACAUUUAAAUUAAGUUUGGUUAAAACUAUGGGUGGGUUUAUACAACCAACUGCACAUACUGUCAAAGAACCACCUAAAACAUGUACCUGCCACAAGGGCGCCAACUGCCACACAGAAUGUUCCAACCUGGAGAAGCAGUUCCACUCUACUAACUUCAAGUCUUCGUGAGCUGUUGAAUGAACGAAAGUUAUUAGAGCAAAUAAGGUUAAUGAAGACAGAGAGUUAUGGACAUUGACAAAUUUCUCUCUUGCAUUGAGGUUAAAAAGCUAAGCUAAUCUAUGGUGUCUGAUGUUUUUAAUUAUCCCAUGUAACAAUGUUGAACAAAGGACGUAAGACACUUAGAUGAUUCUUUUAAUUUCAAGAGUGACAUAUAUUUCAUGCAUUCUUAGUUGUGAUUGAUGUCCUUGAAUGCAAUAUCAUUUCAUCCAUUCUUAAUUGUGAUUGAAGUACUUGAAAGCAAUAAUAUUUCAGACAUUCUUAAUUGUGAUUCUUCAAUGCAAGGUUAAAUGCUUAAUUUGACUUCACAAUGGAACCAAGGAUGUCAGUCCAAACACAAUCCCACAGUUAGCAGAAUGCAGCUUUUGGAGAUCACUUAACUUCCUAACAUCCACAAUCACUUGAUACAACUCUAAACCCGCCUUGGUGGAAGAGAGAAAAAAAGAAAUUCAAACCUCAAACUGACACCUAUAGAAUCCUCCAUUUCCCUUGCAGAAUCAAGAAGCCUUUCAGAUUGACCAUGACAAGAUUCACAUCUGCAAGUGCAUUUAUACAUAGAAGUCAACUUUGAGACGAAAUAUCAUCAAAAAUGUUAAAGUUAUUAAAAAAGAAAAAGUAAUUAGCCUUUGUCAGAAUCAUCAACUAAUUGUCGAGUUUGAAACUUUAAGAGACUUGUUUCAUAAUGCAGAUUCCUUUCAGAAAUUGCAACAUGGAUAACAGAGAUUUCUGGAUAUUAAUGGUAAGUAAAAGCAUAAGAUUCUUGGUUUCAACAUGUUUCCACCAUGCUAGUGUUUUGACUACUGCCUUUUAAAUUUGACAUAAGAAAAGCCAUGAAGGCAUACAAUAUUGUCGUAUAUAUGCUACAAAUAUCAUAUAUACAUCCUCACAUGAGUACACAAUAAUUAUUAUGAAAAGUAAUGCACAAGUUUAGAAUGAGAAUAACCUUUGGAGAUAGUUUUCCAGAAGCAUUUCAAUUUCCUCCUCCUCCUCUACAAAUCAUGAGAAAAAACAAAUUAGCAACUAUGUUGUACUCCCUCCGUCUCAUAAAAAAUGUCUCUUUGCACUUUUUUCUGCCUCGAAAUAAAAGUCUCUUUACAAUAUCAAUACAAUAUUCAUAACUUUUUUCCGCUAUUAUACCCUUAUUUAUUAACUUUCACUCUAUUCAACUAUUCUACUAACUAUAAUUAAUAAGGGUAUUUUAAUAAAUUAUAUAUAAUUAAAAUUAACAUAUUUAUUCAUUUUCUUGAGAACAACGCAUAGUUCAAAUAAGACACUUAUUAUGAGACAUAGGGACUAAUUUGUAAAGUCAUCUGCAGAAUAAGAAGAUCUGUAUCGAUGUCUCCAUAUUUCACAGCUUACCAUCAGCAACCUGCUUUUCUAAGGGCACUGAGCAUUCCACAUUAUUGUUUCCUUUAUUAAGUGUACAGUUUCUUCCCAUAAUACACAUCCGUCGUAUUUCAUUUGGGUCCUCCAGAAGGUCAAGAAGCAUCUGUCGGAGAGCUCCUGCCCUCGAGCCUAACUCAACCUAGCAAUUUGGCAGAAAGCAAAUAAAAUUAGUUGUUUUCUCCCAGAACCACAGCAGAUUAGUGAGAAAAAAGUCAGAAGAAAUUACCAAAGUUUGUUUGCUAAUACGAAGUUGCUCCAAUAUGUCUCCAGUUAUCCGAUUUGGCAACGCCUCAAGAAGAGCUUGAACCUAGGGCCACGAGUAGGGGGAGACAAAAUGGCUAUCCGAAUCAGGUACAGGAUUCAGAGUCAGAAAAAAAGGUGAAAAUAUAUAAUCUUUUAUGAACCAAGAAGGCGAAUAUCAAUCUACUACAUCAAAUAUUUCAGCAAGUAAGGAAGUUUCUGCCACUAGAUAUGUGCUAUUGAAAGAGCCAGUUGAGUUCAGCUUUUCAUGAAAUAUUACUUUUAUUUUGGAAAAAGAAGACAGCUUCUAUGUCAAAGCUUUAAAAAACAAAUCACUUUUUACACAAUCUUUAAAUCAAACAAACAUGCUAAAUAAAAUGUUAGAAACCUUCGUGAAAUGUCAUUUAUAAUACUGUUAAGAUCUUAUACAAUGUCUGCAUGAAGAAGUGGCAGGAAAACAUCACACAGAAGUAGUGGCUAAAGCCCAUAGUUUUUUAAUCAGUUUUUGCUCCCAUGCAGGUAGGGGUGGAAAAAUGGGUCCGUUCUUCCGGGCAUGCCCGUUUUGCCCGCAUUUUUUGGCAGGGUAGGUCAAGGUUUUAGUCUCACACCUAAAUCAUGUCUGCCCCGCCCCGCCUCGCCUCAUAUUUUUACAGGCUUUUGUGGCCGCGGCCAUUAACACGAACUUUGCAACUUUUAGGCUUUAGGGAUGCAACGUCUGUCGAGUCCGCUCCACCCAUAUUUUUUAGUAGGGCGGACCAAAGUUUUAGACCAGCACCCUCUACCAUGUCCGUCCCGCCCCGUUUUUUUGCAGGCCUAAACGGAUGAAGGUUUAGAAACAACUGCUUGUCGAAGUCAUAGGAACAAAAAAAACAGACAAACUAACACAUGCGCAAAAACACACAUACCACAAAGAAACAACAUAAACAUACUCAGUUACUCACUGUGUUUCCAUACUCACACGAGGUUCUAAGUCCAUCAGUCUCCGCUCCAAACGUUGUAUUCUUGAAAGCAAUGCUGCUUCGACAACCUGAAAGUUCAACCAUGAUAACUAGGGGGAAGAGUGGAAGACAGUUCACAAUAGUAUGCCUACGAUGACAAAUGAGAACAACAUUACACCCAUGGUAACCCACUGGUCAUGAAUGUUAGUAUGUACUGUAAUAUUCAAAUACCAUUAGUUUCUUAAAGAGGGUAUUUGCCACAGGGAACAAGACUUAAACCCAGUUGCUUGGAAAUCUACUCCUCAAAAGUCAUGACCAGUUUAAGUUCCUAUAUACUUUCUCUUCCGGCACCUGACUUUUAAGGCCACGCUUUUGUUGGCUUUCUGCAUUGGAAUUGUUACCAUCUUUAGAUCCUUCUGCCUCAUCUUUUACCCUUAAGCACCAUUUUGUUUGAUAAAACAGUGUCAUUAUUUUUUUAUUUUUAGACAUUCACUAUAACCACCAAUUCUACCCUUUCCAAACCUUGGGCCACAAAUAUGUCCUUACGUAUACUUUACUAUUUCUCUUGUUUAUAGUCAUUCCUCAAAAUAAAAUUAGGAAUGACAGAAUUUUAUAUUAGUACUGCUAUUAUGUUGAUUCAUACCUGAGUGUAACUAUCAUAUUUCAAUUCUUGAAAAUAAACCAUAUGCAAAUCAGUUUUUCUUUUCUUUCUUUUAUCUUAUAGGACUGUAAAUCACUGUAUUCUCAUAAUGAUUCUGCUAUUCAGGUUUUUCAGACCUGAGUCUACCCAUGAAAAAUAACCAAAUUCAGUUUAGUUUUCCCUUUUCUUUCUUUUGUCUCGUAAGAAUAUAUGAAUCUUAAUUUGACACUGCUAUUAAGUUGACUCAGGUCUGAGACUAACUAUCAUAAUUCAGCCCUUGAAAAUAAACCAUAUUGAAAUCUUUCUUUUGUCAUGUAGUACUAAAAAUCACCAUGUUUUCCUAAUGAUGUAAUGUAGCAGAAAAUGAGUUAGGAAACAUAGCAUUAGUGCACAAGACUGUGCUUGGAGUGAAUAUAACUAUUCUAUUUUUCCUCCAAUUCAACAAUUAGCAUGUUAAAUGGAGAAGAAGCAAAUUCCAACAGACCUCAAUUUCAAAUGGCAUUGAUGGCCCUCCAUUGUUGUUCUUGGGGUUCAACCUAGGCAGCAAUGUGUCUAGAAAAGCUUGCCCACCUUUACUGGUAAAAAAAUCAAUAGAGAUAGACGUUCAGUUUUUAGUUUGGUGUUCCUUUAUCAAAGAAAUAGCGACAAUAAUGCAUCCUAUAAUAUAUGAAUUAUUUAAGAUUAAAACAAUACCGAUUAUAGUCAAAUAUAAGCACACAAUCUUGCAUUGCUAUUGCUCGUAGCGAACCCAGGUUUAGAAGUAUAGCAUACUCACGGACCUAAUACAAAACAAUGAGAUUUAAUUGUUAGGGACAGAACUUGAUAUUGAUGUUGUGUAUUCCCCUAUGCCACAUAUGGUGUAAACUUUUUGAAACAAAACGAAUGAGCAUGUGUGUGGAGUAGAUUAACUUUUAUGAGUGUGUAUCUAUUGAUUAACUUUUUAUUAGCAACAAAAGCAUAAGAUAGGAUGUAGUUCAAUAACAAACAUAUGUUAAGUAAAGUUACCCAUACUUUAUAAUAAUAAUACUACAAAGAGCACUCCAUGGACAUCUUCACGAAACUUAAGUGAGUAUUUACAAGUACCACAAGGUAUUAAGUAAUGAUAGAGGAGGAAAAUGUUAUACCAGCAAAGAAGGCAUUGAAUUUGUCAAAAACAGUGAUGGAUCCACACUUCUGACAUCCCGGGGACGAAGGCCUGAAUAAAUAAACGUUCACCAUAAAAAAAAAAAUAAAAAAAAAAACUACUUGGCUAGUUUGAACUUGAACCUAUUUUAAGUGAAAGAAGCAUAGCAUGAUUACAUGAAUGAAUAAUGGAACAAGAUAAAAUACUAGCUCAAUUAUUAUCAAUUGAUUUAACUCACCACUCGACUUCAAUAAUUGUCUCCUGUUGAUUUUUCUAGUCGAUACUGCCCCGUCUGAUUUCACUUCUACAACCUUCACAAAUACAGAAAUAGAGAGAAAACAGAGUAAGAAAAGCAAAAUUAGUAACACUAGAGAAGCUGCAGCAAAAUUUAAGAAAGCUUCCUAGGGUUUUAGUUCAUUGAAUUAGUAAUAAAAAAUUGCCUAAAAUCCACAACAUAAUUUCUAAACUAAGAAUAAUCAUUAAAGAUAGAUCGAGAGAGAAAAAGGAGGUGAACAGAACGAACUUCAUAAACAGGUUCUCGAAUUCCGAGAGAAGGAGAAUCGCCGGAAGAGGUAGUUGCAAUCCUCUGAGGCUCAAUAGAAGGAGUUUGCCUCAGAGCCGGAGCAUUCGAAUCAUCCAAAUCUUCAUCGGCGUCAGAUGCGACGGAUUCCGCCUCGCUCCACUGCUUCUCCUCCGUGGAUCUACUGCAUUUCACCGGCUUCAGAGCCGACGGUGACGUAACAGAGAUCUUUCUCCGGCGAAGAAGAGUGAGAGAAUCAUGACUCCGUGUUUCAAGAGAACGGAAUUCGGUAAGGUCGGAGAAGAUGACGUAGUUGGUGCGCGAGAGUAAAGGUUGAAAACGAAGGUGCGUCGAAGUUGAAGUUAAAGUUAAAGCCAUGUUAAUUUAGUUCAGAAGAGACUACGGCGACGGUUACGGUGGUUAUGCAUGCCGGUAACAGAAUGAGGUAGUUGGAGCUGUGUUUCACUCUGCGUAACGAUUAAAACGAAACAGAUUAAUAGUUUAUUCGAAUUUGGAUAUUUUAUUGUUAUUUGAUGAUUUUUAUUUACUACUAUACUCCUAAAUCCUAAUAAUUUAAUGUUUUUUUUAAAUUUUACAUUACAGUAUCUUUGUUCGGGUGAAGUUGAUGGGACCGGUGAGAGGAUAGGAUAAUAAGCAGAAAAAGGCAAAAAGUGGAAGAUUUAUGUAUAUUUUUCUAUUGGGCAAUAUUAUAUGUGGCUGAUAUUUGGCUACAAAUUAAAAUUACAGGUGAGGAUGUGACUCAAAUCGUAACAUAUCUCGUGCAAGAACACGGGAAGGGAAGUGAGUCCUCUUCUGGUUUUAACACCGGUAACUAGUCCGUCCGUACGAACUUGCGUCAUGCCGCUCUUAAUUUAGUUUUAAAUGUUGUGAUUAAAAGAUGUUAGAAAAGGGAUCAAGGGUGGUGUACCUAGGCAUAAGAUACGAGUUUGGCAAGAUACGAGUUUGAAACGCAUAUUUGUUUAUAAACUAUUAUAAAAAUUAAAAGUUGAAUAAAAGAAUAAAUUUAAAAAUAAUAGUAAAUUUAAAUUAAAAUAUUAAUAAAAGUAUAAUAUGAAAUGUAAACAGUAAUAUUAUGAAUAAUAUGAUAAAAAAAAUAAUGAAACUUGUAUGCGAUAAAUCAAUUUAUUUUAAUUUUUUUUAUAAAUAAGAUAAUGAUUUUAUAAAAGUGAAAACAAUUUUAAAAUAUACACUCAAUCUUUUUAAAUAAUUUCUCUUAAUCUUGUUUAUAUAUUUAAAAAAUAUGGUCCAUAAAUUUCUAUUAUUCAAUAUUUGUAUCAGUAAAGUUGUUUUCGAUUAUGAUAGUAGUAUUUUUUUUCGUAUAUACAAUAUUUUAAUCAAUAAUGUAUUUUUUUCCAUAUAUAAAUAUUAUUUUUGUUUUGAUAUUAUUUAUAAAAAUAUUUUAAUCAAUAGUAAUGUUAUUUCCGUAUAUAAAUAUAUUCGAAUCAAUAAUGUAUUUUAUUAUUAUUAUUUUGAAAAUAUUUAUAAAAUCAUUUAAAUCAAUAAUAAAAUUGUUCAUGUUUAUAGCAAAAAUAAAUUAUUUGUAUAAAUUUAUUUCCCAUAUAAAUUUAUUUGUAUGGUACACAUAGAUAAAGAUGAUUGAGUAGAUAUUGAUUCAUCUGAAAAUAUCUUACAAUAAUUUUAAUCUUUACAAUAUAUAAUACAAUAAAUAAUUUAUGUAUUACCCAUCAGUUAUAAUUAUUUAUUCUAUAAUAGAUCAAUUGUACUUUUUUUGUCACUAGACAAUUUUAUUUAUAUAUUAAACAUGAAUAUUUAUUAUAUUUCUUAUUAGAUCGAUCUAUAUGAAUAUUUGUUUGAUAUAUAUUUUUUAGUAAGCAUUGAAUUUUAAAAUUCCCUUUAAAGUUUCAAGUUAUAAUAUUUGACUCAAAGUGAAUUUGUCGUUAUUUAAUUUUCUUUAUUUUGUCAAACUCAUAUUUAUUUAUCAUGCAUAAUAAAAUAUAUUGAAUCCAAAGUUAUGAAAAUGAAUCUUAAAAUUCAAAAAUAAAAAAUAUUCAAUGUUUCAUUAAAUAAAUCAUUCAUUUUAAUUUUCUUUUAUAAAUAAGUCAAUUAUUUUUUUUACACAAUAAGUCAAUAAUUUUAGAAUAGAGAUAAUAUAAUAUUAGAAUAUGCACUCUCUUCCUGGUUCAUUCACACAAAAUUUAAAAAGUUAUACAAUUUUUCUUAAACAUAAUUGAAUUUAUUUUAAUUUCAAUUAAAAUAAUUCUACCAGAGUUCCACUUCAUAUUUUUUGACUUACUAAAUUGUGAAAUAAAAAAAUAAAUUUAAUAAUUUCAAGUUUAUUUCAAAUAAAUUAAGACAAAUGCUAUAUCUUCUUUAUUAAUAAAUAAUAAAUUCAUAAAUCAUAUAACAAUUCUAAAUUAUAAUUUUAAUUUGACAAAUAUUUAUUAACAUAAGCAAUACAUCAAAGAGUGAGAAAUAUGCAACAAAAUCAAUAAAUAAAAUAAUUUCAACAUUAAUCAAUGUAUCAAAUGAAAGGUUAGACCUACUAUAAAAAUAGAAAAGAUAAGUUACAAUAAAUUAUUUUAUUAGUGUAGUUCAAUGUGAAAUUACUUUAUUAGGUCUGCUGCAAAAAUAAAAUAUUAAAAUGUAUUAAUUGAUUGACAUUAGGAUGGAAAAAAUUCUAUUAUGAUUGACCCAAUCAUUAAUCAAGCGUAACAAAAAAUGACAUGAAGAUGAAGCUACUCUACCAUCUAGUCUCUCAUCAUUAUUAUAAUACAACUUAAAACAAAAACUUAUAUCAAAUCAUUGCAAAUGUAUUCUUGUUAAUUAAUAAUAGAUACAAAAACAUGUAUAAAUACCACAAAUUUAAUAUGUGAAUUUUUUUAUUGAAUACUAAAAAUAAGUCAAAGUAAAUUAUAAACCAUAUUAUUAUAUAUUUAUAUUAAAGAAAGGAUUUAGUAAAACAUAAAUCUUUUUUCAUGACCUUUUAUAUAUGAACAUUAACUCUAAAAAAAUCAUUUAUUUUAUUUUAAAAGCAAUUUUUUUAUAUAUUUUUUUCCUUUUAAAAGCAAUAAUUUUAAAUUUUAUUUAAUACAAAUUAUUAAUCAUAAAAUCAUUUAAUUAAUCUAUUUUCUCACAAAUAUUAUUAACCUUAAAAUCAUUUGCUAUCCAAAUCAUUAUAAUAACUAUUAUGAAAGUGAAUGCUAAGAAAUUGAAGGGUAAUGAAAUUGAUCAAAUUAAUUGAUAUUUAUUAAUUACUAUAAAAUAAAUAAAUAAAAAUAUUCAAAUUUCUAUUUGUAGGCACGUUAUAAAAACCAUUUUUUAUUGAAUAUUAAAAGUAAUUAAGGUGAUGAUAAAAUAAAUUAUAAACCAUAUUAUUAGAUUUUUAUAGUAAAGAAGAAGUUUAGUAAAACAUAUAAAUCUAUUUUUUCAUGACCUUUUAUGCAUAAAACUAACUUUAAAAAAAUCAUUAAUUUCAUUUUAAAAGUAAAAUUUUUCUUAUAUAUUAUUUUAUUUUUAAAAGCAGGAAUUUUGAAAAUUAUUUAUUAAAAAUUAUUAGAUAUAAAAUUAUUUGCUUAAAUCAGAAUGUUGAUUAAGUCUAUUCUCUUAUAAAAAAAAUUAUUAACCUUAAAAUAAUUUACUACCAAAAUCAUUAAAAUGACUAUUAUAUUAAUUAAUAUUUAUUAGCUACCAUAAAAUAAUAGAAAAUAUUCAAAUUUUUAUUUAUCUGCAUGUUACAAAAACAUACCACUUUAAGUAUUAAAACAGAUAUUUUAAUUAUUAUUUCUAUAGUUUAAUAUUAAAACAAAUCUUUUAAAUUUUAAGCAUACAAAAAAAAAAAAGCCAAAAUGCAUAUUAAUACAUUUGCCACAUUUCUUAUCAUUCCUUUCUUAUAUAUAUUAUAUAUAUAUAUAUAUUAAUAUAUAUAUAUAUAUAUAUAUAUAUAUAAAAGAUUAAUUACUAUACACUGUCAGUGUAAAAAAUUUUACACCGUCGAUUCGUCACCAUCAUUCGUUUGUAUUACUUUAUAGAUUUUUAAAAUAAAAGUUAAAUUUCUUUUAAUAUCUGACGUCUAUGUGUAAAUUUUUUUUACACUAUCGAUGUAUUUCAAUUAAACUCUCUCUCUCAUACCAUUUUUUUAUAUUUUUCAUAUUUUAAAUUCUCUCUCACAUCGCAUCAUGAUGUGGAUAAUAGUAACACAAUGUUUUAAAUAUUAUUAACUUUUAUUGGUUAUUCAGAAGCUCAAGUUACAGUUUCACUUUUUAAAGAACAAAAAAAUAGUGAGCAUUUAUUAUUAUAAUAAAUAAAUAUAAAUGAAAACUUGUCAUAGAUGUAUAGGCAUUAGAUAAGUAUCAUGAUUUAGAAAAUAGACUUUGAAGAUCGAUAAGUUGUCUCUCACUUAAAAUUAAAUAUUCAUAAUAUUGUAUUAAUUUAUUUGAUACUAUUUCAAAGUAGUAUUAAUUGCAAUUUUGUCAAAAUUACCCCUAGAUAAUGAUUGCAGAGAGAGAAAAAGUAAAGUGAAUGUAAUAAAUAAUUAAGGGUAUUAUAGGUAAAAGAAGAAUUAUUGUUUAACAGUAAUGAUUAGCUUCCUUGGUAUGUGUAAAAAGUCAAAAUAUGACACUUAAAAAGGAACGGAGGGAGUAGUAUAUAGUAUAGGGACUAUAAAUGUCAUUGGAAAAAUACAAAUUUUUAAAUCAAACAGCUUCAUAUAGAGAAUCUUCAUCCACUUUCAAAUGUUCAUGUGUAGGGUAUAUAUCCUCAAUAGUAGCAUCUCCAUCCACUUUCAACUGUGCGUGUGUAUGACAAUAAUGCAGUAACUUAGAAUCAUGUGACAGAAUAAAAAUAUAUAGAAAUAUGAGAUUUUGGCAGAACUGGAAACUUUAAACCAAGAUUAGAUGAAAAAAAUAUGAAUAUACUAAUAGUAUGUUAAGAUUCAGACAUUUCUAUCUCACCUUCCUUGGAACAUAAGACAGUUAUAACUGAGCUAGUAAUCCGAACCAGUACAUAUUUGAGUUAAUUUCAGCUUCAUGUCUCAUAAGAAGGGGAAAAAUAAACAAAUAUAAAAAGAACCAAAAACUACAAUAAAGAAAAUAAACAAAUAUAAAAAGAAGAAGAAAAAUGUACAAGGUAAAAAACAGACAACCACAACAAGUCAACUCCCAAAAACCACCUUGUAAGAACAACACCAUAAGAAAGGAUCAAGCUAGAGUUUAAGCCAACUAAACCACCAACACCUGAUCAAAAACCACUAGAAGAAGGAGGAAAGAAACACCAUACUUUCAACCUGGCCAUAAUCUCAAUCUGUUAUUGAUGAAUCCAAUGUUGGGGGAGGUUUUACUAUGGAACAUUGAAUGUUGUGAAACUUAUUCUUUUAGAGCAACACCUUUAUGAGAGACACACCACAUAUUCAUCCAAAACCUUAAGGUGAUAGGUGAGUGGAUUCUCUCACUUAUAAAUGUUCAAGUUUCCACAUUACCAACCAAUGUGAGACUAUUAUCCAUAUUACUCGCACUUGAUACAUUCUCAACACUCCCCCUAAAGUGUGAGUCCACAAUGCUCCCCCUCAAGUGAAAGCUCUUCUUACUUCCACAAAUCCUUGUACCGUACAAAAUGUUUCUUAUUCACCACACUGGCAUCGUUGACACUCUUCGACGGAAUGUUUCUUAUUCACCACACCGGCGAGCCGUUGACUUUCGAUACAACUAAGUUGGUCAUUUUCUAAAACCAAAGGCUCAUGAUACCAUUUGUUGAGAGAGUUUUUCAAUAGGGAGCAUUAAACAUUGUGAGACUUCUUCUUUUAGAGUCACACCUUUAUGAGAGACACACCACAUAUUCAUCCAAAAUCUUAAGGUGAUAGGUGAGUGGAUUCUCUCACUUAUAAAUGCUCAAGUCUCCACAUUACCAACCAAUGUGAGACUAUUAUCCACACUACUCACACUUGAUACAUUCUCAACAUCCAAAUGAUAAGGUUUUGAAGUCAUCCUAUGAAUGUGCAAUAGUUCUCUAUUGAUCUACCUAGAAACCACUUUCAAGUAAAAAAAAUAUUUCUCUCCUUCAUAUCUUUCACGUUUAUUGAAUAAUUAUAAAAAAAAAACUCAUUUCGGGCUCUCCAAAUGAUCAAGAUCACAACAUUUCCAAAUCAUGAAAAAAAAAACAUAAACUUCGCCAUACCACCUAAAGAAAAUAAACUCUCAAGAGAAGACUAAGAUUUAAUGGAAUAACUGUUUGUCACCUUAACCAUUUGAACAUCAUAUACUAGACACUACUAGGUUAGUCACAAGUGACAAAUAAGUGAGAAGUUGGUUUGAUUGAAACACCACAAAUACGGCAUAUGGUAAGACCAAAGUCCAUGAUCACCUUUCUAUUAAAUAAAUUCUCUCUAUAUGAGAACCUAUCAAAGAUAAGUUUUCAGGAGAAAAUAAUCACAUUAGAAGGUGCCCAACUAUCCCAAAUGUGAGGAGAUACAUAUUGAAAGUGGAGGAAGAAUGUCUAUAAAAAGUGGAAGAAGCCAAAAGAGACUGAUAAGCAGUGGACAUCGAGAAAAUACCAUCCCUUGCAAGCUUCCAAAUCAACUUAUUUUUUUCCAAAGAUAAAAUAUGCCCUCUAAUGACAUAUAGGAAUUCAACAACAAGAGGUUCCUUACAGAAAAAAAAGGCUUCUUCCACUAAAAGUCCCAAAUGAGGUUCUCAUAUACUCACAUACCUACCUUUCCUACCCCUUCAAGAUAAUCAAUGACCGUAAACAACCUGGGAAACCUAUCCUUAAGAUGUAUGCUCCCAAUUUAAGGGUCAAUCCAAAAAUAUGUUAGAAAACCUAAGUCGAUCUUCCUAGUGAUACCACCCACAAACCAAUUAGAAAGGUUUUCCUACUUAGAGUCAAUAAGGGAAACUGAUUUCCACCAAGAGGAGGAUUUUCGAAAACCUGAAUCUCUACCACUCCUUAAAGAAUAAGCAAUAGAUGUAACAUAACAGGAAAGAAAUACAUCUUUCCAAAGACCAGAAGCACACGAGAUAAUACACCGCAUCCACUUAGCCAAAACAGUUAAGUUAACUAAAUGAAAAUCUCUAACCCCCAAGCCACAUUUACUCAUAGGCUUACAAACAUUAUCCUAACUAACUCAAUAAAUUUUAGGUUCUCCCUUAAUGUCUCCCCACAUAAAACUUCUUUGAACCUGAACUAUUUUCCUCAAAGCCUUUACAGGCAUCUUUAGAAAAGAUAGGAGGAAAAUAUGGAUAACAUUAAGCACAAAAUUAAACCAAACCACUUGCCUCAAGCUAACAUACUCGUGCUUCUAAGAAAGGUGAUUAGCGAGGGGGUCUCAAUUAACUUUUCAGAUAUGAAUAACCCCAACAGGUAGCCUUAUAUAUUUAAAAAGAAAUGUCUCAAUUUUACAAUGAAGAAAGUCACCAGUAGGAUCCAAAAAGAGUCUACUCUUAAAGAAAUUCAUUCGGAUGUCAAAUGCUAGCUUAAACCCCCUAAAAAUAAUCUUAAUAGUCCAAAAAAUUUCAUUUAUUGGAUCUGCUAAGAUAAGAGUAUUAUCACUAUUUAAAUAUAAAUUUCAAUAAUAAAGUUUAUACAAAAUUAGAAGGCAAACAAACAACAUGUUAAAACCAGUGAGAAGAUCCAACUCAAUGACCCUAAUAUUCAAACCACUUAAUCCUUCGACUACAAAAAGGAAAAGGAGGAGAGCUACGAGGGUUUUGCUUCAGACUAUUUUGAAUGUUAAUCUCUUGAAUUGGACAAUCAUUUAUCAACACCACGAUAUUCCCAGCAAAAACACAAGCUAUAGUCCAAAACCUCCACUUAUCAUUAAAGUCAAAUCUAAUCAAUAUAUAAUCCAAAAACUCUCGACUCAUAGAGUCAUAAGCUUUCUCAAAAUCCACUUUAUAAAUGAGAUAGGACUUUUUUACUUUCUUAGACUAGCCAUUCACUUAAUUCACCAAUAUUCUACUUUUUAGAAAGACAUAUUGGUAAUGGGGAAACAAGUUUUUUUCCAUGAUCUCCUCUAAUUUAGAAACUAACACUUAUAAAGCACUAACCAAAGAAUUAGGCAUAAAAUCGCUUAAGUGAACAUAAAAGAUUUAUUCUUGGAAAUUAAGGUGACAAAGUAAAAAACAAAGAAGUGAGGUAACAAUGCAAAAAUUAGUGAAACAUAACCCCAACAUCGUCCCUAAAGAGAAACCAAAACCUCAUUAUAGUGUUAUUGUAUACUCAUAGACUUUGUUACAAAUAUAAUUGAAGAACAACAUUGCAAGACUUCAUACUAUAGAAAUAACAUUAUCAAUAAAAAAAUAUAUCUUGAUAAAAGUAUAAUAAAUUCAGCUGUGCUUGAAGAUGACGUGAGAAAUGAGAAAAUUGAAGACAUUAAAAAAAGAUGGAGGGUAGGAAGAAUGUUAUGUAAGUUGAAAAUAAAUGAGUAAUCUUACAAAUGGAUGUCUUAAAAUCAUUCAAAUGUUAUUUAAAAUGUACAACUUAAAAUCUAAUUACAUUUUAUAUACAAAGUUAUAUUUUGAUAUAUAAAAGUUGUUGAAUAAUUUAGAAGUUUUUUGUGCCAAAAUAGAGAACAUUUUUGUAAUUAUUUAUUUAUUUGUUUAUUUAUUAUAAUUUAUUUUACUCUUUUUUAUUUAUUUAUUAAAUUAUUCUUUCUUUCAUGAUUAUCCCACUAACUAAUAAUUUUACAUAUAAAAAUAAUUCUAUAUUUUAAGUAACCACUACUAGCCACUUCUUUUUUAAUUUUUAGUUAACAUUUUAAAUUAUAAUAAUAUCUUAUAUAUAAUUUUUUUUAAAGUCACUUAGCAAUUUUUGACACCAAAAUGGAAGAUAUAUUUGUAAUUAUUUAUUUAUUAUAAUUUAUUCUACUAUUUUUUAUUUAUUGAAUUAUUCUUUCUUUCAUAAUUAUCCCACUAACUAUUACCCCCACUAAUUUUAUUAACUUCUUCCACAACCUAUUUAUAGCAACUUCUAUUUUUUAAAGUUAUUUUCUCUUUUCACUUUUCCAUAUUAAUUCUUUUCAUACAAGAGCCCUCAAUUUAAAGUUCUUCUAAAUUUAUUAAUAUUUGUUAUUUUUUUUUUGCAGGUAUCAAAUUUUAAAGUAUUAGUAUGAAAUGUGAAAGAUGGAGGGUUAGAAGAUGAAUGUAUUAGUGGAGUUUAUGUUAAUUCAUUGAUGUGUGUCCAAUUGCUCUUCUUUUUAAUGUAUUAGCAUUUGUAUAAUGAUAGACGUUUUAUCGAGUAUUUAGUUAUGCACAUAAACUAUCUCUAUCUCUACCUUUCAUAUCAAGAUUUUAAUGCCACAUAUUUAUUUUGACAUGUUCUAAAAGUAUUUGGCCAUAGCAAUAUUAGUGUCUCAUGAUAUUUUGUUUUGUAGAAAAUGAAACGAAGAAUGAAUAUUAUAUUACGAGAAAUUUAAAUUCAUCAUUCAUCAUAACAUUAGAUAUGAAAUACUAAUACAUCUUAAAAGGAUGCAGCAUGGUGCAUUUACAACAUGGUUAUGUAUAUUGAACUUUAGAACGAGUGUCUAGAAUGUUUGUAGGUAUAAGCAUGUUAAGGAUGAAGAAAAAAGUAAAAUAUUAUUGAAUUAUGUUGUUUAAUUUUUUUUAUUUUAUUAAUUUAUUAAAUUAUUAUAUAUUUUUUAAAAAUAUUUGUUUUUAUUUUUCUAAUUAUAUAUUAUUUUUAGAUAUUUAUUAAUUAUAAUUUAUCUACUUUAUUAGUUCAUUCUAUUAUUAUUUAUUUUUUAUUAUUAUUUGUUUCUAUUUCUUACUUAUAUUUUCUUUUUAUUUAUUCAUUUCUCUUUUUCUUUGAAGUAUUAGCAUGCCAUAAUAGAAUAAAGAAUUGCAUAUGAAAGUAAGAUAUUAUUCAAUUAUAUGUUUUAAAUUUUCUGUUUUAUCAAUUUAUUAUAUAAUUUUAUUAGUUUUCUCACAUCUAACCACUACCACUAUUAACUCAAUCAUAUCAUUCUCUUUGUGAUUUAUUAUUAUUAUUAUUAUUAUUAUUAUUAUUAUUAUAAUUAUUAUAAUUCUCUUAAUUCUCCAUUAAUUAUAUUUUAAUUAAUUAAUUAAAUAUUUUUCUCUAUCAUUAAUUAGUUAAUUAUUCUAAAAAUAUUCCUGUUCAUUUUUAUUUUCUUAUUUCUACUAAACAAUACCACCACUAACUCAAUUAUACAAUCUCCACCAUAAUAAAUGCUUUUGUAAUUAUUAUUAAUAUUAAAAUUAUUUUUAAAUAUAUUCUUAAUUUAUUUUUUCUUCUCCUCACUAACCACUUUCACCCUUAACUCAAUUAAAUCCAUCAAUAAUAAUAAUAAUAAUAAUAAUUAUUAUUAUUUUUAUUGAUUCCAAUAAUUAUUACUUAUAAUAAUUGAUAAAUAACUAACUCACUAACUCGGUUAAUUCUCUUUAUAUAUAUAUAUAUAUAUAUAUAUAUAUAUAUAUAUAUAUGUUACAUUAACAUAUAUAAAAUAUUUCACCAAUUAUUAUUAUUUUUAUUACUAUUAAUUUUAUUAAUCAUUUUUAUUUGUAGUAACUUAACAAAUAACUAAUCCACUAACUCCAUUAUCUCCAUUACAUAAAUAUAUCAAUACCCAUAAAAAAAAGUCUCUAUUAAAAUAUCAAAACACGUGGUUUUAUUAUUAUUAUUAUUAACCUCUUUUGUCAUAUAAAAGUCUAUACCAAAAAUAAAAAAUAAACAAAAUAUUUGAUUUCCUUAUUAUUAAUUAAUAACAAAAAAAUUAUUUAUCAUGCCUUACCUUUUGACUUUUUAAAUUAAUUUUUAGUUAUGCUUUUUUUAGACACAGGUUUAGAAAAUACACAAAAUACAUUUUUUAGUAUAAAUAUUAUUCACUUUAUAUUUUUUUUCACUCUUAAUUUUUUUUAUAGGUGUAUAAUCACAAAAAUAUUUUAAAUAAAGAUAUUGUCCAUCUUAUAUCUUUUUCUGCUAUGUAUGAAUUUGAUAGUAAAAUUAUAUUAAAUUUAUUAUUAUUGUGUUUUACUUUGUUUUCUGAUUCUUAUUUUAUUUUUUUCAUAAUUUUUUUGUUGAGAUUAAUUUUUUUAUAUUUAUUUUGUAGGUAUAUAUUUUGAAAUUUCAAAAAAAAUAUUUUUUCUAAAAGUAUUAUUAAAAAAGUUAAGUGUGGAAGAUGGUGUGCUAAAAGANAUAUAUAUAUAUAUAUAUAUAUAUAUAUAUAUAUAUAUAUAUAUUAUUCUUACUUUCGAUAUUUUUAUUUACGUUUCAUAUCAAAAAUUUAUCUAUUUGUUAUUAGAUAAAUAUAUUAUAUGUAAUUAACAUAUAAACUAUUAAAUUCAACUUUUUUAUUACAAAUAUUUUUCUAGUCAAAAUGAUAAUAAUCCAUAUAAAUUCUACAAAUAUAAUUGAUAUAUUUAUUAUAAAUAUAAAAAUAUUAAUAUAUAGUUAAAGAUGUAAAUUAUUAUAUUAUUUUAAAUUUUUUAUUAUAAAAAUUUCAAAUACACGACGAUAAUAAUUUAUAGUGAGCUCUUUCAAGUUUACUAUUUAUAUUUUAACAUUGUUAUUUUUUAUAUUUUAAGCUCACAUUUAUACAUAUUAUGUUUUUAUAAUAUUUCACAUUUAUUCCUAAUUUUUCAAUACUAAAUAUUUAUAAAAAUAUGUUCUAAAUUAUUGAAUAAAAUUACAAUAAUUAUAAAAAAAAUAUUAAAUUUAUUCGUCUACUUAUUUAUGUUUUCUAAUCUACGAAAUGGUGAUAACUAUUUAAAAACUUAUACACACAAUAACGAGAGUUAGAGUUCAUUCUUAGCGUUAAUGUUUAAGUUAACAAAACUUGGAUUUAUUAAAAAGUUUAUUUUUAUUUUUGGUUGCAAUUCAAAUCUUGAAUUGAAAAUACCAAAAUAGUAGAAUACGAGCCGGGUGUUUUUGGAAGAGGCGCGGGGGAAAAGAAACCCUCAAAUUCAAGCAACUUCUCUCACUCUCAUCUCUGUAGCUUGAAAUUGGAGUGAACAACCACAAGCCAAAAUAAACCCAUGGCGGUUCCGGGAAAUCCAGCCAUUGAAGAAGAUGCAGAAGAGCACGAACGAGAUGGUCCCACGCAUCAUCCUUCUGCUCCGGCACACGAGGUUAUCAUCACAACUUCACCUUAAUUACAAACUCUAUUUUAGUUUCACUUGCAUUCGGAUCCAUUUUCACUUUCAAAGAAGCUGUAACAAAUAAUCAUCCCUAGAAUUCGUAUUGAGCGAUUUUUUGAAUUAUUCCUGAUGCAGUUUUUUGAUUUAUCAACCACUGUUGAUCCUAGUUAUAUAAUCUCCUUGAUAAGGAAGCUUCUUCCUUUGGAUUCUGGUUCUCUUCAUGGAGUUGUUUCGAAAGGCCCUAGCCAAGGAUUGGUCACCGAUAAUGAUGAUAAAGAAGGGGAUGCACCGUCAUCUGCACCUAUUUGUAACGACGAUCGCGUUGGAUUAUCCAAGAAUAAACAUGAAAAUAUGGAUGUUGAUGAUGAAUCCUGUGAAUCUUCUCAUGCGCUGGGAGAAUAUCAGGAUAAGAGUGACGGAUUUGAACGUUCUGGCGACUCGGUUCGAGAGGACGAGUGGGAAGAAUACGGUUGUAUUUUGUGGGACUUAGCUGCCAGUAAAACACAUGCAGAACUCAUGGUACUACUCUAUUUUUGUUUAGUGUUCAUUUGAAUUCUCCUUUAUAUGUUCUUGGUGAAAAGUGUUAGAAUUGAUUGUAUCUUUAAAUAGAGGUUUUAGGAAAGUUAAUGAGUCAGUUAAUUUCGUGUUCAAAUUUCAGUUUGACUAGAAAUGAUAAAAAAAAAUCUAUUUGUGUUUGUUGAAGAAUUUGAUCUGAGAUUUACUAAAUUGCUUUUGGAGUGAAGAUAUGAAAACAAUAAACAUAAGUCAUUUUACUUGAAACUCAAUUUUUAAACAAAUUAAAAUUUACAAAACCAAUCAAAAUCAUGCAUUUUCAAAUGUUCACUGAAAUACAUCAUAUAUUAGUUUCAAUUCACAAAUGCUCUCGUCAGUGCUCUCUCUCCAUGUAAGAGCUCAUUCGAUGUGCUAUGCAGCCAUAAUCUGGUCCUCAGCAAACCAUUUUGGGCUGAAAAAUCUCACUCGUGUGAGAUUUUUGAGAUUAUGAUGAUUAAUGAUUGCUUGAAUGUAUUCUGGUGUGUGUUUUCCAACCAUGACCACUCUGCUCAUCAUCAGUUAAGCAUCCAUUCCUUUCAUCGGUAUAGAAACAUUAUGGAAACUUCAACUCACCUGAGGUCUAAACACAUUUCGGUCAUCAUUGUUUUAUGCCUUUCAACCUGUUUAAUGUAUAAACUAAAACAAGAUGAUUAUAUGGUUUAAUCCUGCAGGUGGAGAAUCUCAUACUUGAAGUUCUUUUAGCAAAUCUCAAUGAUUGCAAAUCCAUGCGAGUUAAUGUAAGUCAAUAUAUAAAUAUGUACCAUGAUCAGUGUGCAUUCUUUUAAUGGUCUGAAAAUAAAGCUAUGAUGAGGUGAUUAGAAGAUCAAAUGUUACUUCAUCACAUAUUUUUGUAUUUAUUACAUUCUGCAGGAGGUUAGCAUAGGAAUUAUUGGGAACCUUGCCUGCCACGAAGUUCUAAUGAAGUGUAUAGUCUCCACUAAAGGACUGAUUGAGAUGAUUGUGGACAGAUUAUUUCUGGAUGAUCCUCAAUGCCUAUGUGAAACAUCUAGGUAUAAUGCUUCUCUGACACAUGUAGAUGUAGUUAUUCUCACUUUCAUUUUCGUCAGGGACCAAGUUACCUGAUUGGUUACUAUUUCCAUAUUGUUAUCCCUGUUUUUUAAUUUUAUUUUUUAUCUUCUGCUUCCUUAAGCAUUAUUAAUUUAUUACUGUGAGAAAGAAACACUUGCUAGUAUCAAAUGUUAUGUCUGUUUUUAUUUUUUAAAGAAAAUAUAUGUGCAUGUUCCAUGCUGAUAUAAUUAUGCCUUUUCUAUUCCGUCUAUUUCCUCUUGAGCUUUUUUUCUUCACGGAUUUGCCUGUUCGCGAGGUUACUGAGUACUUAUGCUGAACUUGUUCAUCUUUCUCCUAAUCCUGACGAAAGACUUUGGAAUCUUUUAUCCUGUAAAUCUUGUCAUUUGUUCCUUACCCAUUCUCCUAAUAGAGUCUCUAAAGCUUCGCCUAUGGUCAAAUAUCAUGUUUGGAUUGUUGUUUAUACAUAAUUCUCAGUAACAUUAAUGGCAUGUAGCAGCAUAGAAUCUCAUUGCUUUCUCUCCCAAAAAUGUCUAUAUAAUUCUAGUUUACCAACUACGGAUCAUUUCGUUUUGAAUUGUUUCAUAGCCGCUUUUUCCUAGAGUACGAUGUGUAGGGUUUUUGGUGACCAGUAGAUUUGUCCUAGGGACUUGCGUAAAUUUCUUCUGUUGAUUUCAGAGGUUUUGGUUCACAUCAAUGCUAAUAUUGUGGCAAAAGUCUUGUCUCUGCAAGUCUUUGUUGUAUAUGUCUGGAGAGGAAAUUCUAGAACUUUAAAGGGCUCUUGUUCUCCUCUGGACUUAUUUUGCACAUGGUUAUUAUUUUAGCCACCAUUUGGUAUUCUACUAAUGGCCUUUUUAUUACCGGUUCUUUCUGAGCCAUUUAGUGAUAUUGGCGUGCUUUGCUACAUGAUUCAAUACCUAGGCUCUAGUUUUAUUGUUUCAGUGUUAUUUUCUUGAGAAGCUGUGUCAUCUCAUCCACUUUCUUUGAACUAUUAUCUUCUUCCUUCAUAAAUUUCUUUCUGUAAAAGAACAUUCACACAGAUACACACCAUCCUGAAUAGAUAGGAAGAGGGGAUGAUGUUCUAUUAGUUUAUUUAUUUAUCUAUCCAUAAACUUUUAUUUGUGUUGUGCUGUAAUCUACAUGUCAUACUACUUUUUUUAAAAAAAGAUCAGAACUUUUAUGUUACAAACUUUUCUUGUGUUCUGAGAACAGAUUAUUGACUGUGGGCCUUCAAAGUGACGAAUCCAUUUCAUGGGCUGAGGCAUUGCAGUCCGAACAUGUAUUAUGUCAAAUAUUAUGGAUUGCAGAGAAUACUUUGAACCUUCAGCUUUUAGAAAAGGUAGUGAAUACUUUCUAAUUCCUUAUUCAUCAUAGUUUCAACUUUUUUGAUCUUUACAGAGGUGAUACUGAACUAGGUAUUCUUGCAUUGGACUUUGUGAAAAACAUGCUACUAAAUAUUGCACUAGAAACAUAAACAAUUUUGGAAGGAAAAGUAAUGUGAUAAUUUUUAUUACUUGUUUUGGCAUUCUUUCUGAAUCAGAGUGCAAGUUCCAUCUAAAUGAUCGAAUCAAUAGCUAAGAUUAUUUAUUCCCUAACAGGUUGCAGGACUUAUAUUAGCUAUAUUAGAAAGCCGGCAAAAAGUUGUGGAUGAUCUUCUUCCACCUAUGAUGAAGCUUGGUUUGGCAAAUAUAUUGAUCAAUCUCUUGACUUUUGAGAUAAGCAAACUAGCGAGUGACCGAAUACCUGAAAGGUACCAUGAUCCACAAUCUGCCAUUUCACAUAGAUGAAAUUAUGCAGUUCCUUUUAUUUUCUGAUGCCAAUUCUGACCCCAUCCAUGACAAUGUUUGUAACUAUUCAUCCAGCAGUCUGGUGGAAUAUUUGUUGUUGCAAAAGACAUUCUGGUGAAUUUGAUUUGAGAACCUAAUAAUAUCUUCAAAUUUCAGGUAUUCAAUUCUUGAUUUAAUUCUUCGUGCAAUUGAAAGCCUUUCUGUUAUAGAUGGUCAUUCUCAGGAAAUAUGUUCAAAUAAAGAGCUUUUUCACCUAGCAUGUAACUUGGUCAAGUUCACAGAUAAAGUCGAGGUACCGUAUUGUUGUAGUUAACACUUUCGUCAAGACGCAAUUUAGUUUACAUCAACUGUUGAGUUGAGAUGUUUUCAGAGGAGUUUCUUAAUCUGAAAAACUAUAUUCACAAAACACACACAAAUGUUAUAAUGACUUCUCCAAUAAGAGCAAUACAUUUUUUCCCUUCCAAGAUGCAUUACAAGCUUAUAUAAUUUUACAACAAGAAUUUUUUCCACCAAUUGCCAGAUUCUUUUACUUUUCUCUGCUUUGUUCUCUUGAGUAGCAUCAGUUGAAUUGUGUACUUGAUAUUUUUCACAUAUACUCCAAAUUUUCUAUUAGUCAUGAUUAGUUGUUGAUAGAUUUUUUGCUCGGUAAGACAAGAUGGGUUAGGGUUUUCAAAUAUUAUGGAUCCUUGGGGAAAAAGGGCGGCAAUGAUGUCACAUAAAAAACAACCUUAGAAUAUAUCUUACAAAUUUUAAUGAUGAUUAUUUUUUUAAAAAUAUAUCAGCGUUGCUGAGAAAAUAAGUUACUGCUCCUUGUACUUCAACCAGAAUGGUCUUCCUCCUUUGCUAUGGAAGAUUUUUAUUAAUACUUGAGGCUAAAUUCAAUUAAGGUAGACUUAGAAAGACUAUCAGAGAAGUUAUUAAGAAAAAUCUCGAGAUUAACGAUUUAGAUAGAACAUUAUGGCGGAAGUUGAUCCAUGUAGCAGAUCCCACUUAAUGGAAUAUGACUUGGUUGUUGUUGUUGUAAAUUCAGUUGAGAAGUGAACUCAAUGCGGCAACUUAAUCAGGCUGUCCAAGUUGAGACCAAGUAUCCAAUCAAAUGAUUUCUCAAAGAAUAAACACCUACUUUCUAAAUUGGUUUAGAAAAUGGUAUGAACUAGUAAUAUUGUUGAUAAAACUGAAAUAGUGUCAUCUUGUGACCUACAUGCUAUUAUGCCCCUUUCUAUUUACUAUGUGCUUCUCAUAGAUUGAUAAGAAAUGAAAAUGAUUUGUAUAACUGAAAAACAAUGGUGUAUUGGUCGUAUCUCUUGUAGGUUGGGAACUGUUGUGUUACUGCUGCAGUUCUUAUUGCAAAUAUUUUGUCUGAUGUUGAUCGCGUUUCCGAAAUAUCACAAGGUAAAACAUAUAUCUCUUUCACUCUCAUCCAUAAACUAUAAUGCUCUACUUAUUUGUUUGUUUGUUUUUGGUGUACCUGAAUUAGUUGUAUAAUGGUAAAUGACAUUGUGCCUUCUAGAUUGGUGCCUCUUAGGUGGUCUGCUUGAUAUAUUUCCUUUUGCUUCGGAUGAUUUGGAGGCAAGAAAUGCAAUCUGGAGCGUACUUGCUAGAAUAUUAGUCAGAAUACACGAAACUGAAAUGAACUCAUCAAGUUUAUGUCAUUUUGUUUUGGUUCUUGUCAGAAGAAUUGAUUUGAUUGAAGAUGAGCUUCUGAACCAACAAUGUGUUGACUACAGCCCUGGCUCAACAGCAGAUACUAGAAACACAUCUGUAUCCUUCUCAUUUAGUUCUUUCGGUUUAUCGUUUGCUGUUUUGAGGCCCCCUUUGAAUGACAGGAAUUGAAAAUUUUGAAGAAUCACAAUUCUUGGGAUGAGGUUUCAGUUUUUUAGAAAUAAGAUGUUGCAUUAGUUUGCAUGCUGUCGUGAUUAUAUAAUUAUAAAUCCAUGUUGAUUCCUCUUGCAGUAAUUUGCUUUGAACUGACUUUAUUUUUUCUUUUGUUAUGGAAAUUGCUUUUACAUAAACUUUUAUAUGCAUAAGCGUAUGUUUGGUAUGGCGUUUGGAAUGACAUUUUCCAUCUCGAGGCAUUUUUUGAUGUGAAAAUUUAGAAGCUAUACAUCAAAGCUUUUGUGUUAACCUUUUUGAUGCAAUUUUUUCUAACCCAAUGAUUUACCAAACAUGUACUUAAUUACUGUUUAUCCAAUCUGCUGCUACUAACCAUCCCAAUGCAGCUAAGUCUAACUAUAAAAGGCCAGCCGCGUGUAUUGAUAUUUAGGUUGACAUGCUUAUUUGUGUAGAUGUGUGUUUUUUUCUAUUAUUUGUUUCCCUUUACCUUUGGAAUAACAGCUCGUGAGAAUAAUCAGCAUUGUGAAUCAGUGGACUGCUGUAAGGGAGGAAGCUGAGAAUAAUGGGAAUGCUGAAACUUUUGUAAGCGAGACAGAUGUAAAAAAGUUGUUGGAUUGUUGUCACAAAUUCUCGAAGUAGAAUUACUCAUUAUAUUGUGAAUUACUGUUUUCCAAACAAUCUUUGAAGGUUUGACAAGUUUUGUUUAACUCACUCUUGAAACCUCAGUUAGCUAAGCCAUUGAGAGUUAAGAAAUCCCAAUAUAAAAAAAUUAUGAAGUUUAAUGGUUUGAAUGGUCAUGCUUUGUUUGACCUUGAAUAAAACAGGAAGUAUAAGUGUGUUCAAAAUACACAGCAAAGAAAUUAUGUGAUUUGUUCAAGCAGAUUUUUCAAAGUCUGAUUUGCAUCCUCCAUAUUAAAAGGUUGGUGAAAAAAUUGUUUUCCAAACACACUAUUAAUCACUAUUGCUACACAUGAAGUCCCCGUUUUUAAAAUUCUAAGUUUGUUACUUUUUGGUUUUCACUAUUAAUCACUGUUACUACACAUGGAAGUCAUAGUUUUUUAGUCUGUUUGUUAUUUUUUGGCAAAUCUAACAUGAACAACUUUGAACACUCAAACAGAAAAUUUACACAAAGCUCUCAAAAACUAUGGUCUUAUUACAACAAUGAAACACCUAGUGAGCUUUAUAAUUAAUCAUAUUCAAACUCCUUAUACAUAAGCCAAACUCAUUUAACAGCAGCAACCACACACACACACCACUUGAAAGCUAAAUAAUGAUAGUAAUCAUAAUAGACAGAGCUGAUAAUAACCCAAAACAUGUUGGAUUAG
rnacentral:lncRNA from 1 species